rnacentral:lncRNA from 1 species
GUGGUGGCUUCUCUCCCUUAGGUGGUUUGCCAACUGGGGUUGGUGGCUUGUAUGAGUCUUCAGCAUUCUCAGCAGGAGGGUGACCAGGGUUGUGACCAUAAUGUGGUGGCUUCUCUCCCUUAGGUGGUUUGCCAACUGGGGUUGGUGGCUUGUGUUCUGGGAGUGGCUUCUCCCCCUUGGGAGGUUUUUCCAAUGGGGUUGGUUUGUGUUCAGGAGGUGGCUUCUCCACUGGAGGCUUGUGUUCAGGAGGUGGCUUCUCCACCGGUGGCUUGUGUUCAGGAGGUGGCUUCUCCACCGGAGGCUUAUGCUCUGGUGGUGGCUUCUCCACCGGAGGCUUAUGCUCUGGUGGUGGCUUCUUGAAUGGGGGAUGCUGAGGGUAAUCAGCAAGUGAGGGGGCGGUGAGAACCACCAGGCCAAGCAACACCACUAGCAAAUAUGUAGGAGACAUCUUUGGGUUUGGGCUCAGAUGGUGCAAAACUAGGAGAAUUGGCUAGCCUUUUAUAGCGGAUCGUACUCAAUAAUGAAAUGACACGUGUCAUUAUGACCCAUGUGUAAUGGGGUCGAUUUGGGUCCUACAGUGUUGAAAACUUCGACAUCCAGUUUUGGCCUUUUGCUUUCUCUACAGCCGCCUUGCUUUUUCCCUCUUUCCUUUUGUUUUCCUCCUGCCCCAUUCUAUCAACUAAACACAAUUAUGUAGUUGUUUAAUUCUUAAAUGAGAUAUUAUCGGUCAAUCGUAUUAUAUUUUAUCAAGAGAGAACGGAGUGCAAUGCAGCUGUAAUUUUAUCGUUUACUUUUAUCUCUUGGACCACUGCAUUUUUGUUAAGAGGUGCAAUAAUACACGUCUUUAUCUGCCAUUCAAUGUUUACAGUAAAGAGAGGGCACAAAACUCUUCACUGCUCUGCAUGUGUCCCAAAAAUGCGAUUGGACAAAUUAUGAUUUGCAUGCUAAAAAGAGGCAAAUGAGGUUAAUUCGCACCAUAAUUAUUUGGUUUUCUGGACACCAUAAAAAGAUGUUAUACAGGCAGGGAAAAACCUUCAGAGUUAGCUACCAAAGAUAAUUAUCAAGCAGAUAUCACCAAGAGAAUUCCAUAGAGUCUGAAUCAAAGACAGAUUGCUCGCUCGUGGGGGUUCUUACUUUCUUUUGGGUAUAACUCACUGAGGUCACUGUCUUUUUUAUUUGCAUUUCACAGUUAGAGUUCUGCUCUGGAAGGUUUGUUCUGGAAACAUAUAAAAGGAGCAUCAUUUUGUUCUUGGGUAACCCAUAGUCGUGAGUGGGUCCAUUUGCAUGCUACUUAGUUGAAAAGUUGGACAAUUUGCUCCGACGCCUACCUCCUGGAUUCCAUGCUCGGUAAAACAAGAAUAAAAAAAAAUAUAUAAUUUACAAAUGGGGGAAAGAAAAAAUGUCGGAAAAAAUAGUAAAAUUCAUGUCACAUGCUAGUGAGAGAAGGGGUUGUUACACUCACUCGAAGUUCUUUUCAAAAUAUCGAAUGGUAUUUUACUUUAUGUGUCAGCGCAGUUGUGAAUGGAACGUGCAAAAGUCCAAAUUGGCGUUUUUAUUUUUCCCAUGUAGGAUGGUGACCUUUAAUAAAUAUUUAAAACAAAAGACGAAAAAAAAAAGGAGGGAAAAGGGAUCACAAAAGAUAAAAUAAUGUUUACAAAAGCUCAAUUAGUUUGCAAAUUACUGUUUGGAUUUUGAUAGUAUUUUAUUUGUCGUUCUAUAUUUGAUGUAAAAGAGAAUUUAAGAUAUUUCCGAAGCAAAAGCAUUAGUUUGCUCUGUGAUGUCCCACAUCGAAUAGGGGAGAAAGUUUCUGGCGCUAUAUAUGUAGAGGCUCCUCUUAACCAAGUAGAUGCGUUUUAAAACCAUGAGGGCCCCCUUAGGUCCAAAGCGGACAAUAUCUACAUGAUUGGGUGUAAGUCAUUACAAAUGGUAUCAGAGCCGAUCCCCGACCCCGGUGUGGGGGUUUGUUUGGCCCUGUAAGGGGUGUUUGUCUGUUUGACCCCACAAUCCCAUGGGACACAACGAGGACGUUGUGUCUGCAUGGGGGGGCGUUUGUGAUGUCCCACAUCGGAUAGGGGAGAAAGUUCCUAGUGCUAUAUAUGUAGAUGUUUCUCUUAACCAAGUAGAUGCAUUUUAAAAUUGUGAGGGCCUCUUUGGGCCCAAAGCGGACAAUAUCUACAUGGUUGAGUGUAAGUCAUUACAUGCUCCAUGUCAAUUUCAGCAUUUCUCAUAUGUUUCACACAUACACAGAAGAGCAUCGUUUUUUAAAGCAUGCAUUUAUGUUGGAUUAAUUUGGAUUUUGUGGGAACUGGGGCAAGGAUCACAUGGAAGAGAGGUUGACUUUUUUCAGUACUUCAAUGGUUGAAAUAUGUGAAGGCUUGAUUGAUACUAAAGCUUGAAAUUGCGACUCUGUCAUUUGUAAAAAAAUAUGACAGCUUCCAUGCUCUCGUUUGGUUGCAUUGUCCGGUCGAGAGGUGCAAAAAGCAUUCUCUCUCUUCUAAUAGUCUUUUCGUUUAAAUCAAGGGAUUUGCCUUCCCGGUCGAGGUCCAAUAGAGGGUAACGGUCACCUACUAAACAUUAAAUGCUCCAACAACUAGUGAACUGAUCGACCCCAGCUCGACUAGUUGAGGUUACUUUUUGGUUUUCUUGUCUCCCGAGGUUAGAAACCUAUAAAUAGAGAGCUUCACUUCAUUUAUGAGUAAGAGAACACCUAAAUUUAUUUGUUUACCUACUUGUUUUUGCCAUAAAAGCUCUCAUUUCUUUUCUUGGUGUAUUAAAUCUCCAUUUGCAUAUCCUUUAGUGCACCUUUGUGAUUCAUUCUAGCCUUGAGUUGUAUUUAAGCCUUUGUUGAGCUAGGUUGAGAGUUUCAUACUUGUUUAUUGAGUGUUAAAGCCUUCAAGUGAGUUAAAACUUGAAGAGAUUGUGUAAGAGCCCAUUGGAGUCGGAAUCCAAGUGUAAAGGUGAUUAAAAGCUUGGUUGAAGCUUCAAGUUAGUGGAACUCUCACUCGGUUAUGAGCUUGAGAAGAGUGGACAUAGACAAGGCAGUGUCGAACCACUAUAAAAUCUGAGUUUGAUUUCUCUAACCUUAUCUCUUUAUAUUUGCUUCUCUUGUGCUUAAAUUUUUUGUGUUUAAAAAGAAUUUUUAAAAACUCAAUUCACCCCCUUCUUGGGAGUUUUUCUCUUUUAAGAUCAGCUUUUAUUUUCUCAAUUGGUAUCAGAACUAUGCCUCUUGUUUAAGACUUAAUCGUCUAAGAGGAAAUGGCUAAUCCAUCAAGUUCAUCUCACAUUGAAAGUUUUGCAACCAAUAGACUUCUUUUUUUUUUUUUGCGGGAACUGAUUAUCCCUAUUGGAAAACUAAAAUGACUUGGUUUUUACAAUCAAUUGAUUUAGAUGUAUGAGAUGCCAUUGAAGAUGACCUAACUUUUCCUUCAAAACUAGUUGAUGGAGUCAUGGUUCCAAAACCUAAGCAAGAAUGGGAUGAGCGUGAUUGAAGAAAUUUUCAAUUAAAUGCUAAAGUCGUUUAUACUUUGCAAUGCUCUAUGGACAGAAAUGAAUAUAAUAGAAUAUGUCAAUGCAAAUCGGUUAAAGAAAUUUGGAGAUUGCUUGAAAUAACUCAUAAAGGAACAAAUCAAGUUAAAGAGUCAAAAAUCAAUUUACUUGUUCAUAGAUAUGAAUUGUUUUUUAUGAAAGAUAAUGAAACUAUUGUUAAGAUGAUCACUAGGUUCACCAACAUUGUUAAUGGUCUUAAAGCCUUGGGAAAGACCUACAAGGAAUCCGAAAACGUGAUGAAGAUCUUGAGGUCACUUCCAUCAAAGUGGCAUACCAAGGUCACCGCAAUUUAAGAAGCAAAAGACUUGAUCAAGCUACCUUUGGAGGAGUUCAUAGGGUCAUUGAUGACAUAUGAAAUCAAUUUGGCAAAGAAGUAACAAAAAGGUGAAGACAAAAAGAAGAAGAACAUAACUCUCAAAGCUACAACUAAGGAAGAAGAAGUUGAAGAAGAAAAACAAAUUGAAGAAGAUGAAGAUUUAGCCCUCAUCACAAGAAAGUUCAACAAAUUCAUGAGGGGUGAAAGGUUUAGAAGAAGAAGGUUCACUUCUAGAAGAGACUUUUCUAAAAAGGAAUCUUCAUCUAAUGGUGACAAAAAGAGAUGGGAAGAGAAAAGAGACUUGGUGUGUUUCAAGUGCAAGAAACCGGGACACAUUAAAUAUGAUUGUCCUCUCUACAAAAGUGAAGUCAAGAGGAAAAAGAAUAAGGCAAUGAUGGCCACUUAGAGUGAAAGUGAAGAUGAAUCAUCCGAAGAAGAAAAUGAGAAAGAAGUGGCAAACAUGUGUUUCAUGGCAAUAGAUGAACUUGAUGAGGUAAAAUCUAACCUUAGUGAUUAAGAUAUACAUGAUGCAUUUGAAGAAUUGUAUGAGGAUUUUUAAAAACUUAGUUUGAAAAAUAUUUCUCUUAAAAAGAAAGUUCAACAACUUGACAAAGAACUUAGAGAAGUAAAAGAAAAAUUUUCAAAUGUUAAAGUUUCUAAAACUCAUCUUGAAAAAGAAAAUGAGAUUCUAAGAAAGAAAAAUGAAUAGUUGAACUCCUCUCUUUCAAUCUUUUCUUCUAGACAAAAAUCUUUUGAAAUGAUUCUAACUAGCUAAAAAUGUGUUUUUGACAAACAAGGGUUAAGAUUUAAAUCUUCAAAAAAUCAAAAGUAUUUUAAAAACUAUUUUGUAAAGGAAUCCACAAGUGCAAGUCCUUCCACUACUUGCAACUUUUGUGGAAGAGAAUGGCACAUUAGUAGUACGCCCUUUAAGAAAUGGUUCUCAAAAGAAUUUAAAUGCAAAAACUAAAAAAGAUUUGGAUUGAGAAAUCCAAGGUCACUAACCCUCAAGGACCCAAAAAGAUAUAGGUACCUAAAUCAACUUGAGUUUUAUGUUGUAAGGUUCAAAGAAUGAUAAGUGGUUCUUAGAUAAUGGUUGCUCAAGACACAUGACCGGAGAUGAAUCCAAGUUUGCUUUUCUUAAAAAGAAAAAUGGAGGAUAUGUUACCUUUGGAGACAAUGCAAAAGAAAGGAUGAUUGGUCAAGGCAACAUUGGUAAUGGCACAUCCUCUCUCAUUGAAAGUGUUUUAUUAGUAGAUGGUUUCAAACAUAACCUUUUAAGCAUUAGUCAAUUUUGCGACAAAGGUUUUUAAGUGAUUUUUUAAGCAUCUCAUUGCAUCAUCAAGGAUAUUCAAAAUGAUAAAACCAUUUUCAUGGGCCAUAGAUGUGAUAAUGUUUAUGCUAUAAAUAUUUCAAAAUAUGAUGGCCAUGAUAGAUGUUUUUCAAGCAUGCAUGAUCAAAGUUGGUUGUGCCAUAGGAGAUUGAGACAUGCUAACAUAGACCUCAUUUCCCAACUCAACAAAGAUGAACUUGUUAGAGGCCUUCCCAAAAUAAUUUUUUAAAAAGAUAAAGUUUGUGAAGCUUGUCAAGUGGGAAAGUAAAUCAAAAACUCUUUUAAAAACAAAAACUUCAUUUCCACAUCUAGGCCACUUGAGUUGUUGCAUAUGGAUUUAUUUGGUCCCUCUAGGACACCAAGUCUUAGAGGAAAUUCUUAUGCAUAUGCUAUUGUGGACGACUUCUCUAGAUACACAUGAGUCUUGUUUUUUAGUCAAAAGAAUAAAGUUUUUUAUGAGUUUUCAAAGUUUUGCAAUAAGAUUCAAAAUGAAAAAGGUUUUUCAAUUACUUAUAUAAGAAGUGAUCAUGGGAGAGAAUUCGAAAAUAUUGAUUUUGAAGAGUAUUGCAAUGAGCAUGGAAUUGACCACAAUUUUUUGGCUCUUAGAACUCCUCAACAAAAUGGGGUAGUUGAAAGGAAAAAUAGAACUCUUCAAAAAAUGACAAGAACCAUACUAAAUGAAAACAACUUACCAAAAUAUUUUUAGGCCAAAACGGUUAACACUUCUUGUUAUGUUUUAAAUAGAGUAUUAUUGAGGCUCAUACUUAAGAAAACUCCCUAUGAGCUUUGGAAAAACAAAAAACCCAACAUUAGUUAUUCCAAAGUCUUUGGAUGCAAUAUUUUAUAAUAAACACCAAAGACAAUCUUGGAAAAUUUGAUGCAAAAUUGGAUGUUGGAAUUUUCCUUGGUUACUCAACUUCAAGUAAAGCUUUUCGAGUUUUAACAAAAGAACCAUGGUUGUAGAGGAGUCCAUCCAUGUUAUUUUUUAUGAAUCUCCAAGAAAGAGAGAGGAUUGAUGAUGAUUUAGGUUUGAAGACCUCUAUAGGAAGAUUGCAAAUCGAAGAUAGAAGACAACAAGAAGAAAAUGGAGAGAAUCCAAAGAAAGAAGGAUCACCAUUGGCACUACCCCCUCAUCAACAAGCGCAAGGUGAAUCAAGUCAAGAGCUUCCUAAAGAAUGGAAGUUUGUCAUCAAUCACCCACAAGAUCAAAUUAUAGGCAAUCCAUCUAGUGGGGUAAGAACUAGAUCCUCUCUUAGAAAUAUUUGCAAUAAUCUAGCUUUUAUCUCUCAAAUUGAGCCUAAAAAUAUAAAUGAUGUUUUAGAUGAUGAAAAUUGGAUAAUUGCAAUGCAAGAAGAGUUAAAUCCAUUUGAAAGAAGUGGAGUAUGGGAAUUAGUACCAAGACCUUCAAAUCAAAGUGUUAUUGGAACUAGAUGGAUCUUUAGAAAUAAAAUGGAUGAAAAUAGCAUAAUUGUUAGAAAUAAAGCAAGAUUGGUAGCCCAAGGUUUUAAUCAAGAAGAAAUGAUAGAUUAUGAAGAAACCUUUGCCCCCGUAGCUAGGUUGGAAGCCAUUAGGAUGCUACUUGCCUUUGCAUGUUUUAAAGACUUUGUUUUAUAUCAAAUGGAUGUGAAAAGUGCUUUUUUAAAUGGUUUUAUAAAUGAAGAAGUAUAUGUUGAACAACCACCCGGUUUUCAAAGUUUCAACUUUCCUAACCAUGUUUUUAAACUUAAAAAGACACUUUAUGGUUUGAAACAAGCACCUAGAUCAUGGUAUGAAAAAUUGAGUAAAUUUCUUUUGAAAAAAAUGUUUUAAAAUGGGAAAAAUUGACACAACUCUUUUUAUAAAAACCAAAGAAAAUGAUAUGCUCUUAGUUCAAAUAUAUAUUGAUGAUAUCAUUUUUGGUGCUACUAAUGUCUCUCUUUAUGAAGAAUUUUCUAAGUGCAUGCAUAGUGAGUUUGAAAUGAGCAUGAUAGGAGAACUCAACUUCUUCCUUGGACUUCAAAUCAAGCAACUAAAGGAAUGAACCUUCAUCAAUCAAGCAAAGUAUAUAAGAGAUCUUCUCAAAAGGUUCAACAUGGAAGAAGCCAAAACAAUGAAGACUCUAAUGAGCUCAUCCAUUAAGCUUGAUAAGGAUGAGAAAGGUAAAUCCAUUGACUCUAUUAUGUAUAGAGGCAUGAUAGGUUCUUUGCUCUAUUUGACCACUAGUAGACCUUACAUUAUGUAUAGUGUGUGUUUGUGUACUAGAUUUCAAUCUUGUCUUAAAAAAUCUCACUUAAGUGUCGUGAAAAGAAUCCUCAAAUAUUUGAAAGGGACAAUGGACAUAGGCUUAUGGUAUCCUAAGAGUGAUAACUUUGAAUUAAUUGGUUUUUUGGAUGCUGAUUUUGUCAGUUGUAGGGUUGAAAAAUAAAACACUAGUGGCACUUUUCAUUUCUUAAGACACUUACUUGUCUCAUGGCAUAAUAAGAAGCAAAAUUUGGUAGCUUUGUCAACAGCAGAAGCUAAAUACAUAGCAACUGGUUUAUGUUGUGCACAAAUCCUUUGGAUGAAAUAAACACUUAGUGAUUUUGAUUUAUCUUUUGAGCAUAUUCCUAUUAAAUGUGAUAAUAGUAGUGCCAUAAGUAUAUCAAAAAAUCUCGUGCAACACUCUAGGACUAAGCAUAUAGAGAUUAGACAUAAUUUUCUUAGAUAUCAUACACAAAAGGAUGAUAUAACACUUGAAUUUGUAAGCAUAAAAGACCAACUUGCCGAUAUCUUUACAAAACCUCUAAGAACAUUUUGUUGAUAUUAGAGGACAAUUAGGAGUGAUUUCUUUAUGAUCUAAUGUGAUGAAUUCUUGAUGAAUAUACUUUUUGAUUGCAUGAAUUUCAUGUCAUAUAUGCAUCAUAUAGAAAUAUACUUAGAUAAUGGUCAAAUUUCGACCAAAAAUCAAAAUUCCCAUGGCAUUAGGCAUAAAAAUUUUGGAAUUUCAACUGAAAAUGGUAGGAGGAGGAUCACAAAAUGAGAAAGUAUGCAAAAAUUGAAAAAUCAAAACGUUGACCAAGCGGUCAAUCGGACUAGACCGAUCGACUAGUUUGUCGAGAUUUAGGAUUUUUAAGAGACUCCAACGCUUCAAUUUUUGCACCGUUCUCCUCUAUUUCUUCACGGUUUCUCUGAUUUUGUCUUUUAGAGACUAAUUUGAGUGCGUUUUGGAUCAAUUGAAGCAUUUUGGAUUGGAUUUUAGGAAGAUUGAAAGUUAAGGUUUCGGAUUUGGGUCGCCUUCUCUUCCUCUCGCGUGUCACAAUCAGCUUUAGCAUUGUUCUCUUUCCAUUUUCACACACCUAGGGUUUCAGUUGUGAGCAUCUCUCUCUCUUUACCAACCACUACUCCCUUGCUUCUUCCAUAUGGCUCCUAGGCGAGAGUCCGCUACUUCUAGGGCACAAGGCAAGCACCCAACUGAGUCGUCUCAGUCAAAGGCACGUCGAAAAGUGAGAUUUGACAUUGCCUUGUUCAGUUCCAUGGAGGACUACCAACUAUACAAGCAACACUUUGCUUAGAGACGAGUAGUUCCCAAGAGAAAUAUUAAUUUUCCUCAACUUCAGCAUUUCGAAUUUAAGGGUCUAUUUACUAGGAUGGUUGGUUGUCUAUUGUCACAAUUUCGGAGCCGGUUUUCCUGACCUUAGUGCGAGUUUUUUACUCGAGGGCGACUUAUGGCAUGGGUGGCAUGAUCAUUUCUACUGUUGGAGGAGUUGAGAUCUGUCUGGACCCAGAGAGCAUCUGCCAUAUUUUCGAUAUUGCUCUGGUUGGACUCAAAGUAUACAAGUCCAAAAUGUGGCCCAUUGUGCCAGGAUUUGAGCUUAGAGAGGUCAUUCAGAGGAUUUGUGAACUUCCAGACGCCCAGGAGAUGGGCAAACCAUUGCCACACAGUUUGACGGUCAUCAACAGGGUGCUACACCAUAUAUUGUGCUCUAUCUUUCUACCACGAAGUGGACAUUGAGAUGAGGUCUCUUAUUAUGAGGCAUUCCUUAUUGACUCCAUUCUAACGGAGAGACGAAUUCAUCUACUAUGUCAUCAUUCACUAAGCCUCCUCACAGUGACAUACCACCUCAUCAGGCACCUCUUGCUCCUGACCAUGCUCCAUUGAUGGAUUUAUUUACUCAUAUUAGCUCUCUAGGCACUCGCAUGAAGGAGUUUGUUGUAGUUAGUGAUACAUGGUUCUACUCCAUAGAGGAUCGCAUGGAUCAGUAUCAGACUGGCUUCACGUCACAGUUUGAGUAUCUCCAAUAGAGGAUUGAGCAUAUUGAGGAUCACUUGAGCAUGAGAAGAUGAUGGCUUUUCUAUGCUCUGUGUUUCCACCUCCACCUCGUCAACCUUGAUUUCUUAGAGACCCAUUGUUUUCAUUUUGUAAUGUUGCCAAAAGGGGGAGAUAUUUAGGAUCUAGGACUCUAUAGGAGACUUACAUGCAUAUCAUUUUCAUAUCAUUGUUUGGAUCGUACAUAUUGGAUAGUGAUACUUUUUACUUAUAUAUGAUAUGCCUAUAUGUUUCAUGUCUUACAUUGUUUCUUAUUGCAAAUUAUCUCUAACAUGUCUUGAUUAUCUUUUUUUUAACUUCAUAAAUUUUGAUUGUUAACCCAUGAUUGGUUUGAGGGGAAGAUUCUUCUUCUCCUAGAUAACCAAGGUUUGUCAUCAUAAAAAAAUUGGAGAUUGUUAGCCCAAGGGUUCUCCUAAUCAUGUUUUGAUGAUAACAAACCAUGCUUAAGUUACUAAUUGGUUUGAAUUAUAAAGAAUUUCAAGUGUUAAUUUGAAAAUUCAUCAAAGAACCUAAUGGAUGCAAGAUCAAGAUUUUUGGAAGACCUUUAAUCAUAAGAAACAUAUGUAAGAUGAAUGCAUGGGUGCACUUAAGAUUUGCAUAUCAUUUCAUGCAUAUUUGGAAAACACGGUUUAUGCUUUAAAGUUACAUUUCCAUCAAAAUUUGAGAUCCAUCAAAUGAACCUUAGGAAAAAUGUUUUAAAAUUGGCAUAUAAUUUUACCUAAAGACCUUGCCUAAGUGUUAGAAGCAAAAGGACAAAAAAAAUAUAGGUUUUCUGGUCAAAAAUGGUGAACCAGUCAAGGCAUUGUCUAAAUCAGCUCAAUCGGCCAAGGUACCGGUCGAUCGGUUUCCCUUUCCCUGUCGAGAUCUAGUCAAGAGGUACAAAAAUCACAAUCUCUGUCUCUUUCUCUCUUUGUCUAUCUUCCAGUAGUCUUUCCUUCCCGGUCGAGGGAUUUGCCUUCCCGAUUGAGGUCCGAUUGAGAGUAAUAGUCACUUGCCAAAUAUUAAAUGCUCCAACAGUUAGUGAACUGGUCGACCCCCACCUUGCCCAGUUGAGGUUACUUUUUGGUUUUCUUGGCUCCCGAUGUUAGAAACCUAUAAAUAGAGAGUUCCACUUCAUUUAUGAGCAAGAGAACACUUGCAUUUAUUUGUUUACCUACUUGUUCUUGCCUUAAAAGCUCUCAUUUCUUUUCUUGGUGCAUUAAAUCUCCAUUUUGAUAUCCUUUAGUGCACCUUUGUGAUUCAUCUUAGCCUUGAGUUGUAUUUGAGCCCUUUUUUUAGCUAGGUUGAGAGUUUCAUACUUGUUAAUUGAGUGUUAAAGCCUUCAAGUGAGUUGAAACUUGUAGAGAUUAUGUGAGAGUCGAUUGGAGCCGAAAUCCAAGUGUAAAGGUGAUUAGAAGCUUGGUUGAAGCUUCAAGUUAGUGGAAUCCUCACUCAAUUAGGAGCUUGAGGAGAGUGGACGUAGCCAAGGAAGUGUCGAACCACUAUAAAAUUUGAGUUUGAUUUCUCUAACAUUGUCUCUUUAUAUUUGUUUAUCUUGUGCUUAAAUUUAUUGUGUUUAAAAAGAAUUUUUAAAUACCCAAUUCACCCCCCUCUUGGGUGUUUUUCUCUUUUAAAAUUAGCCUUUAUUUUCUCACAAACUAUUGUAGUAUAGUGGUUUUUAGGUGUCAUCCAUUAGGAUGAAUUGUUCUCGGUAAUUAAGGCGUGAAUGAGAGGAGAAUUAAUGAUUGUGAUUAAGUAAAAUUGAUUUGAAAAUUCAUGGUGAAAAAUCAAUUUAACAAUGGUUUCUAAUUGAGAAAAACAAUGAAAUGUGAAAUAAAAUAAAAUUAAUAGGAAAUGAAAUUCUCGAAGUUAGAAUUUUCUAAAAAACAAAUUCCAUGGUGAAUGGAUGUUGAGAUCUAAUUUUCAUCAAGUUAGAUUGAAAACCGAAAUUUUCAUAUAAACUGAUUUUUUAUUUAGUUUUAGGUCUAGAUUUAAUUUCCCUUAAAAUUAGGUUAUUUAAUCCAAGAAAUCAAUUCAAAUCAUAUAUUCAAUUCAUCUUAAAUUAUCUUCCAAUUAUUCACACAAUGCAACUAUUCAAUCUCAUCAAAUCUAGCUUUUAAGAAUUUAAUGAAUCUACCUAGUUUGCAUUGUAAUAGUCAUCCAUGACAAUUUGAAGAGAAAAAUAAUUCAAUUAAUCAAUCACUUGGAUCAAAUUACCUUUGCAAUUAAAGUUCAUUUCUCUAAUUCACCACAGAUUUUGUCUCUAGAUCCUCCUUUCUCAAAGAAAAAUGAGAUUUAGCCACACAUGAUUGGAGAUUUGGUCUCAUAAGGCAUGUUUAGCUAGUGAUAAAAUGAGAGAAAAUAAAGAAAAAUAGAGAAUUCGAUUAAGAAAGAAAAUCUAAAAAAUUCUACAAUUAGAAAUGUCCAAAAAGCUUUUUCAUGAGAAAAUCAAGUUUCUAUUUAUAGGCCAAGGUCAAGUGGACACUUGACAUCAUCUAAGAGGUCUUCCGGAAGCUUCUUCAUCAAGAAAUCUGGAGUUUAAUAAUAAAAUGGUCAUUUCACAAGAGCUCAAACAAUUUCGCAUGAUUAUGUGAAAUAAAAAAUGCAACAACAGCAAUUUACAUCUUCUUGGAGCAUUUCGCAUGACUGUGUGAAAUUUUCACAUGAUCAUGUGGAAUCGACUUGACAACUCUCAUUUAGCCUACAACAUAAUUCCACCUUUUGGUCCAUUUUUCAUAGUCAUGCGAAAUGGAAAUAUUUGAUUUUUAAGUUUUCUUUUGUCAUUUCUUUCAUUUCCUUCUCUUGAUUCCACUUCAACUACCUCCGAAUCCUGGUCCAAACCAAUUGCAUUACUUCUUUCAUUAUGCAUUUGGAUCAUCAUCAACAUUAUUUGUUCUCUUCAAUUUGAUUCAUCUCUUUUGUCACCAAUUUAUCAAAAUCAUACCUUGAAAUGACUCCAAAACUUCAUAAAACUUGUUAGUAACUCUUGCAAGGGCAACAACAUAUUAAUUAAGUGUUUUAGGCAUAGUUACUACUCAAAAGAUGCGAAACUCAUGAUAAUUAUUAUAUAAAAUAUGCUCUUUUUGAGUAGUAAUCAACUUUCUUGCAUAAGCAGACCUUUUAGGGUGGAGUACUAAAGACCAAUAUGCUUGUCCUUGUUGUAAUAAAGAAACUUGCUCUUAUUGAUUGCACCAUGGGAGAAAAUUUUGCUACAUGAGUUAUCAUCAAUUUCUUCCCACCAAUCAUAGAUUUAGACGUGACAAGAGGCCUCUUAAUGGCAAGGAGGAACUGACACUCACACUUAUACAAUUAUCGGGCAUUGAUGUGUUGCAACAAUUAGAAUAACUUACACCAAUUAUGUUGGGGAAGUCACAAAAGGCAAACAUGAAAACUAAAAGGAAAAAAGAAAAAUGUUACAUAUCACCACAACUGGAAAGAAAAAAGUAUUUACUUUCAUUUGCCAUAUUGGAAAGCACUUAUUUUACAUCAUAAUAAUUUAGACAUAAUGCAUAUUGAGAAAAAUGUGUGACAAUAUAAUUGAGACAUUGUUCAGUAUUGACGAAGAAACAAGGACAACCUAAAUAGUCAUCUCGAUUUACAAGCUCUAACUAUUAGAAAUGAGAUUCACCCAAUAGAAAGCAGGACCAAAUUUAUUUUGCUUGCAACAUGCUACUCACUCACCCCAAAUGAGAUUAAGGAAUUUUGCAAGUUUUUGAAAUCAAUAAAGGUCCCCAAUGGCUAUUCUUUCAAUAUCUCUCGUUAUGUGCAACUCAAUGAAAGGAAGAUAUAUGAGCUCAAAUUGUAUGAUUGUCAUGUCCUAAUGCAACAACUUCUCUCACUUGUAGUUCGUGGAGUUCUACAUAAGAAUGUUUGUGGAGUUAUCAUAGAAUUGCGUAAUUUUUUCAAGCAAUUGUGCUCAAAGGUGUUAGAAACAAAUCACUUACACCAACUUGAGAACAAUAUUAUUGUCAUACUAUGUAAAAUGGAGCAAAUAUUUCUUCCAUCAUUCUUUGAUAUUAUGGUGCAUUUACUUGUGCAUCUAGUAAGGCAAAGGUUGCAAGACUUGUGCAAUAUUGUUGGAUGUACCUAAUUGAACGAUAUUGUUAUAAUUUCAUAUGAAUCAUUUAAUUUUAUUUUAUAUUAUGUUCAGUUCAUUAACAUGUACAUUGGUCUACAUAUGGAUGAUGAUAGGUACCUAAGCACUUUAAAGUCAUAUGUGCGUAAUAGAACUUUUCUAGAAGGUUCUAUUGUAGAAAGGUACCUUGCAAAAGAAUGUACAACAUUUUAUUCUAGGUACUUGAAUGAUGUGGAAAUAAAGUAUAAUCACAAUGAUAGAAACUUUGUUGGUUUCAACACUAGAGGAGAUGAAAGGGGUUAUCUUUAAACAUAUUGGACAUGCAUUGGGAAAGCCCAUAUUUCAUUAACUUAGUUCAAAAGAGUGGUCACAAGCACAUUUAUAUGUGUUGACAAAUUGCGAAGAUGUCAUACCAUUCAUUGAGUAAAAAAUUUAUUUGAAUUUUAAUUAAAGCUCUAGUUUAUAUCCUUAAUCAAUGUUUUUUAAAUUCACAAGGAGCACAAGCAAACCAUCAAGGCUAGACCACAUAUACGUGUUUGAGACGUAGAUUUAAUUCAUAACAAGGAAUUUAUCAAGUGGUUUGAAAGACAUGUAAGUAUAUUCCUUAUUAUAAGGGAUUUAUUUCACAUUAUGUUUAUAUUGAAUCCAAACCUAUUAUUGAAUUGUAGGUUGAACAAUUACAUAAUGAAGGUCAUAUAUCUGAACACCUUCUCACAUUAUCAUGUGUUCCAAAUUCAUUAGUUACAUGCUUCAAAUGAUAUAUUGUCAAUGGAUUUAGAUCCCACAUUAAAGAACGUGAUAAAAAAGUUUUUAAAAAAAGACUCAGAAUAAUGGAAUUGUUGUAGUUGCAAAAACGUCAAGCUUUACAAGUGCAUGUGAUAUGAGUCCAAUUAUUAGUGAUGCUCUCUACUAUGGUGUUCUAACUAAAGUUGUUGAGUUACAUUAUCUUGGUGAAAAUAAGGUUGUUUUAUUCGAGUUUGAUUGGUGGGAUGUUACAAAUAUUGGAAAAUUGAUAAAAGAUGAUGAGUACAAUUACACAUUUGUUAACUUUGCAUGAAUUCUAACCACGAACGAACGAUUUGUACUUGCAUCUCCAGCAAAGUAAGUGUUCUAUGUGAAGAAUGCGAAUGAAUCAGAUUGGCAUACUAUCAUGGAGAUGCAACCUCAAGACCUCUAUAAGAUGAACGGGAUAGGAUCCAAUGGUGAUUUUGAACCAUUUCAACAAAGUGAACUACAUGAUCACUAAUAUAUCUCAGAUUUAGUUGAUGAAGAUAUAAUCAAGUGGAACAAAAGUGAUGUUUUAGGACUAAUCAUCCUAAAAAAUAUUGUAGUUUCUUAAAAAAAAAAUGAAAAUGAAGAAGAUAAUUGAACCUUUGUCAUACUUUAAAAAGCAACUAUGCAUUGUUCAUUUUGUAUGUUUUGGUUUUCUUCAUUUAAUUUCCUGAUUUUUGUGAUUCAAUGUCAUAUUAUUGAUCUUGAAAUAUUUUUCUAAUUUUUCAUUCUACGAUGGUUUCAACAAGGAUGACAUCAAGUCAAAAAAGGAAAUGUGGUCCCACACACAAUAUUGCAUUACAGGGAUUAAGGUCAGGGAAGAAGGUAAAAGUUGCAUUUAAUGAGUACAAUCAAUUGGUUAAACAGAAAAAUGGAAAACACUUAUCGAGCUACAUAGGGACACUUGUAUCUAACCAACACAAUGUACCUCUCCAAGCUAGUGAUUGGAAAAAUGUUCCAAAUGAUGCAAAAGAGAAAGUAUGGCCUUUGUUUUGGUAUGUUGUAUUUCUCACUAUAUGAUGUCAUUUCACUGUUAUUCUAUUUUGUGACUAACGUUUGAAUCAUAUGUAAGAAAAAUUUGAAGUAGAUAAAGACUGAAAAGAUUACAUGUUGGGUAUAGCCUCAAAUAAAUAUAGAAGCUAUAAAAAUAUGAUGAAUGCAAAAUACUAUGACCCUUGGCAUAAGGAUGCAUGAGGAGAGGUUAAUACAUAAAUCACCAUUUGUCUCUGAUGUUGAUUGGAAGUGGCUUGUCUCUGAUGCAUAAACCAAAUCCCCCACUGAAUGUUUGAUAUUUGAUAGCAGGAAAAACACACCCGCAGCUAUACACCUCCAUCAUUCAGAUAAUUAUAGUGGGGGAGAUGAUUCAUGGUUGCCCUUAUACCCUUUAUUUGCACCAUCUAUUGAGAUUCUUUAUCAUGGCCAGGUUUUACUGCAGCAAUAAGAUAUGGUGGCAACAAUUUUAUCUAUAGGUGCGGUUCCAGACCGCCUCCAUAGGUGCGGUUCCUGACUGCCUCCAUAGGUGCCUCUUCUUGUAAUGUUUGUUCUGGGAAUUACACUUGAAAGCCUUAUCGUGAUAAGGGAUUACAAACACUAGUUCAGAGGACAGCCAUGUUAAACUUCCACUAUGUUUGUGUCACAUUAUCAGCAGCCUAGUGUUUAUUGGUCAUGCUAUCUGCAACUAAUAUAACCCGGUGAACUUCAAUCUAAAUUCUGAAAGUACUCAUGUGACAGAUGGUGCCUUUCAGCAGAUAUCAUCAAUUUAAAAGUAGUGUGUGUGCCUAUAGGUGGGAAGGCCUUGGCAAAUGUUCAGUAUUCCGGUAAUUCAAGAAGGAUAUAUCUAAAAUAGAUUUUCUUCUUGCCCAUUUCAAUAGUUAAAAUUUGAGAAGAUUGUGUCCACAUCACACAAAUAUUAUUGGUCCUUCUGUUGCAAUUUACCUCUGAACAUGUCUUCCAAUUCCCACGGUCCUGUUACUCCAGGAAAACUAUUUCGGUCAUAUUGAAAAAAAAAAUAUUAAAGAAGGUACACAUGCUUUUAAGUGGACUGGGGCAUUCAUAUCAGGUGGUCUGUAUCCACAUAUGCCACUUCGUGAAAGGUGGAACAGCCUAAUCACUAGGCUAUUUAGUGUGGCCCAGCCACGUUAAUCAAGCACAAGUCUUCAUACUUAAAGUCAAAUGGUGUCUUUAGUCUCAUUACACAUCGCUAUUUGAAGAUUAACUCAUCACUAGUGUAAUGCGAUUAAGACAGUCCUAACUCAAUAUUUGUUCUAGUUUUGGAUGCAAAUGCUUGCUGGUUUCAUCAUUGGAUGGGAUAAAGGUGCAAUCAGGACUAUGAAUACGUGCAGUAAUACUUCAUUCUCUUUUUUCUCAAUGAGACUUCUUGGCACAAUUUUGCUGCUCAGCAACCUACCUUUCCAUGGAAAAUCAGUUGUGACUGAUAGUAAUGGAUAUAUUCUAGAAAGCUAAACAUAGAUAGCAUUCAAUAUUAUCGAUAUAACAUUAACAGCGUAUGUCUCAAUGCUCAUCAGCUACAAGCAAUGGACAAACACUUUGAGUAACUCACAGCAGUCAAAAUUCCUAAACAGGACAGACGUGACAGAUCUAUAUAUAGAACACUGCAUAUGAGUCACAGGAAAAGAUAAUACGGGUACAUAGAAGCUCUUAUUUUACAUAUUACUCAUACUGAUCAAAGUCGCUCAGUUGGGAUGGAUGGGAGAAGGAGGUUUGAGGGGUGGCUUGUGCGGGGAAGUUGGCAGCUUCUUUCCGGGAGCUGGUUGCUUCUUUGCUGGAGUUGAAGGAGGCUUAAUCUUCCGAGGUGGCUUGUAUGAGUCUUCAGCAUUCUCAGCAGGAGGGUGACCAGGGUUGUGACCAUAAUGUGGUGGCUUCUCUCCCUUAGGUGGUUUGCCAACUGGGGUUGGUGGCUUGUUUUCUGGGAGUGGCUUCUCUCCCUUGGGUGGUUUGCCAACUGGGGUUGGUGGCUUGUGUUCUGGGAGUGGCUUCUCCCCCUUGGGAGGUUUUUCGAAUGGGGUGGGUUUGUGUCCUGGUGGUGGCUUCUCUCCCUUGGGAGGUUUACCAAUUGGGGUCGGUGGCUUGUGUUCUGGGAGGGGCUUCUCUCCCUGGGGAGGUUUAGUGGGUGGCUUGUGUUCUGGAGGUGGCUUCUCCACCGGAGGCUUAUGCUCUGGUGGUGGCUUCUCGAAGGGGGGAUGCUCAGGGUAAUCACCAAGUGAGGGGGUGGUGAGAACCACCAUGCCAAGCAACAACACUAGCAAGUAUGUAGUAGACAUCUUUGGGUUUGGACUCAGACAGUGCAAAACUACGAGAAAUCGCUAGCCCUUUAUAGCGGCUCGGACCUAAUACUGACAUAAUAUAAAAUAAAUAUUAUAUUUUAUCAAGAGAGAACAGAGUGUAAUUUUAUCAUUAAUACCGAUCGAGGCCAAAGAAAGAAGACCCAUAAUCCAUUUCCCACAAGCAUACACAAUGCAGCUGUAAUUUUAUCAUUUACUUUUAUCCCUUGGACCACUGCAUUUUUGUUGAGAGACACAAUAACACAUUUUUAUCUGUCAUUCAACAUUUACAGUAAAGAGAGGGCACAAAACGCAAUUAGAUAAAUUAUGUUUUGCCUGCUAAAAAGAGGCAAAUAACUUUAUUUGCAACAUAAUUAUUUUGGUUUCUAGUGACCCCGGGGCCUUUCGGUUGGUUUGGGAUCGGAAAAUGAACAUCAUAGGGGGGGUUGUGCCCUUAUGGGCAUAUAUAUCUGAUAGCUUCAACUGGCCUUGUUCCUAGAAAGAAAUUGCCAAAGAUAUAAACUUAUUCCAGGCUGAAAGUAGAUGAGAGUCAUAAUGAACAUCAACCUUUGUUCAGUUUGAUUCAAUGCCCCCAUAGUGUUCAUUUCACAGAUCUGAAUGAUUAUAUCCGUUGAAUACAUAAAUUAAUGAAGACAAAUAUGAAACCCAAGAUACAUCUCUGCAUAACAACCCCAACCCUGGUUGCUAUGUUUCCCUUCUUCUAUUCACAUGAGGAUACUGGUUAUAAUUGUCAAACUUGCAACAAGCCCUUUGACACCUAACGUCAAUGGACGAAUUAAAAGUCUCCUUCAAACGUCUAUUUCACAGCAUGAAGCUUAUAAAGGAUGCUGACAACCUUCAGAGUUAGCGACAAAAGAUAAUUAUCAAGGAGAGAUAGUUCCAUGAGAAUUCCAAGGAGUCUGAAUCAAAGACAAAUUGCUCACUCAAGGGUUCUUAUUUUCUUUUAGGUACAAAUCUCUUGAGUGUUGUUAAAGAAACACGUCACUGUCAUUUUGAUUUGCAUUUAACAUUUCACUUUUGUUCUGGAAGGUUUGUUCCGGAAACAUAUCAAAUGAGCAUCAUUUUCUUCUUCGGUGACACAUGGUCGCGAGUACGUGGGUCCAUUUUCAUGCCACUUAGUUGAAAAGUUGGAAAGAAAAAACAUGCCAACAAGAAGAUAGUGAGAGAAGGGGCACUUCAAGCCUUUAACAUGAACAAACAGUAAAUAAAAGAUGUUUCUCCACUCAUAAAAGUGUGUUAGAUAGCAAUAUAACGAAUCACAUCCAAAAUCUUUACUAGGCUCAAACAUAAAGAAGACUCAUUUUUAAGAAAAGAUAAAAAUGGCAUUGUCUGAUAGUAUCCAAUACACGAGAUGGCACUUAAUUUGUACAAGAUCUGUCAAUGCUGACGCACAUUUUCUGAUUAAAAAAAAACUGAUCAGUCAAAAGCAAUGAAGAGAAGUGAUGACAAUGAAUGAUGCUUCCAAUAUUUUCACCCCUUAUAGUGUUCUUCAUGAUUCAGAUAUAUAAUUGGAAAUAGAACAACCCUAUGCCAUACAUUCGUCUAAGUAUGGUGUCUAAUUUUUUGUGUCAGCGGUUGCGAAUGGAGCGUGCAAAAGUCCAAAUUGGCGUCUCUCCAUUUCCACAUAGGAAGGUGACCUUUAUUGACAAAUACCCAAUAUUUGUAGACAUUCCUUAAAUAUCAUAACUUCUUGUUGAUUUGAAAAUCAUUUUUCAACUACCAUGUUUUAAUAAAUAUUUUUUAAAAUGUAUUUUUAUCAAAGUCCACCAUGAUGGAUAAUAUUCACCAUGCAAUAAUUAAUAAAGUACAAACUAAGCGAAAUGAAAAGCAUUUUCUUUGCUUUGAGUUGAUUUUGGUUGCAUUGAGUUGAUUUUGGUUUCAUGGUUUUUUCAACUCUUAUUUUGAUUGGAAGAUGUCAAGAAAAGAAAACAUAAAGAAAAAUUAAAAGGGAAAAAAGAAGAAAAAUAAAAAAAAAUAGAUUUAAAAGUUAAUAAAUUAUUUUUUAUAUUUAUUUUAAUUCAUUUCACUUAUUUUUCUUUUACUAUAUAAAAUUUAAAUAAUUUAAAUUUUAUAAUUAAUUUAAUUACAUUUCAUUUUCUUCUAUAUUUAAAUAUUGGAAAAAUAUUUUACUUAAUAUUUUUUUCUUUAAUUUCUUUGGCAUUUUGGGAACCAAACUUAGCCUUUAAAAUAAAAAACAAAAAAAAAAUGAAAAUAAGGAGGGAAAAGUGAGAAAAGAUAAAAACAAUAUGUAAAGGAUUUGAAAAGUAUUAGUUUGUAAUUACUAUUUGGAUUUCAAUAGUAUUUUAUUUGUCUUUCUAUAUUUCAUGUAAGAGAGAAUUUAAGAUAUUCCCCAAGGCAAAGCAUUAGUUACCUGCAAUCAGUGGUGAUAAGGCUCCAAGCCAAUUUUGGGCCCCAUAUCUUAAGACAGUACAAUUUCCAUUUCAACAUUUCUGAUUUCUCAGAUGUUUCACAUACCACAGAAGAACAUUGUUUGUGAAAAUAUGCAUUUAUGUUGGAUUUUGUAUGCUGUGGGGACUGGGGCAAGGAUCAUAUGGAAGAGUGGUUGACUUUUUCUGUACUUUAACGGUUGAAAUAGGAUAAGCACGGGCAUUUGUGAGGCUUAAUUGAUUUUGAAGCCUGAAAUUGCGUUUCUGUCAUUUUGUCAAAAAAAUGGCAGAUUCCAUACUCAUAUGUUUGGCCUGUGGCCAUGUACAGAUGCCAUUUAGUGACCAGUUUGUAACUGUCAAUCGUUGCGUUUUGACUCUGCCUCAACAACAUCUGCCAUUGACGGGUUUUCAUACUUGCAAAUCAAAUAGUCUUUCGUCCCAUCAGGAAUUUCGGUUUAAAUAUUAUUAAGCAUACGUUUGGCUGACAAUCAUUAUCCAGUUCAUGAUUUGGUUUCUUACCCUUAAUCAAUGGUUUCUAAGUGAAUAUAUGUAGAAGGAAAUCCGAAGUGUAGACAGUAGUAUCGAUAACUCUCAAUAUUCUCUAUAUAAUAGAAUAAACAGCGUCAUAGUGAUCGUCGCCUACAAGCAAGGUACAAAUACCAAAACGAGUGACUCACAUAGACAUCUCCCAACAAGAUGUAGUAGUGACUGACACAUGGACACAAUUAACUCGUAGAAAAGGAUAAGACCAUUGCACAGCAGCUCUUAUUUUACAUACUACUUAUGCUAACCAAAGUCAAUUAGUUGGGAUGGGUGGGAGAUGGAGGUUUGUGCGGUGGCUUGUGGGGCGGAGUUGAUGGCUUCUUUCCAGGAGCUUCUGGCUUUUUCAUCGGAGCUGAAGGAGGCUCAAUCUUAUGAGGCGGCUUGUAUGAGUCUUCUUUACUCUCGACAGGAGGGUGGCCAGGGUUGUGAUCAUAAUGUGGUGGCUUCUCUCCCUUAGGUGGCUUGCCAACUGGGGUUGGUGGCUUGUGUUCAGGAAGUGGUUUCUCUCCCAUGGGAGGUUUAGCAAUUGGGGUUGGUGGCUUGUGUUCUGGGAGUGGCUUCUCUCCCUUGGGAGGUUUAGUAGGUGACUUGUGUUCUGGAGGUGGCUUCUCCACCGGAGGCUUGUGCUCCGGUGGUGGCUUCUUGGUUGGAGGGGGCUUGGGGUAAUCAGCAAGAGAUGGGGUGGUGAGAACCACCAGUCCAAGGAACAACACUAGCAAGUAUGUGGGAGACAUUUUUGAGUUUGGGCUGAUCAGAUGAUGCAAAACUAAAGCAUUACGUGACCUUUUAUAGCAUGUAGCUCCCAAUACCCACUAAGUAUUGUGGGGUCCAUUUGUGCCCUACGGGGUUGAAAACUUAGACAAUUGGGCAAGGACCCACCUGACUAUGGAGGACUAGUGAGGUGUGAUCAUAGCUUUAGGAUUUUUCUUCCUCUGCAGCCGUCGUGCCGUUGGCAUGAUUUUCUUAAUCUUAAAUAAAGGCAUAGUUAUAGAGUUGUUUAAUCUCUAAAUGGGAUUUUAUAUAUAUCUUCAGAUAGCCAUUAAUAUAUUUGAUGAAGAAAGAAAGACAAGUGCAUACAACAUGUAUACGACUAGCUUUCAUGGAGUUCAUUUAUGAUCAGUUUUCCUGUACAUGUAAACCAGGAUCAUAUAUAUGUUUCUGUUCCACAACUAUUUUGGAAUCUUGUUUAUCAGUUUUUAUCAUUAUAAUGUCACAUAGGCUGCCAACUUGGGCGCUAAAAGAACCAGUUGGGCUAGUUCGUUUCAGAAUUUCAAUGUGGAUUCAGGAAUUGUUUUGUAAGAUAUGCGAAAUAGUAGAGGGAUGAAUAGUGUUUCAUUAAUAAAAGUGUCCUGUAAAUUAGAAGGUGUCAUAGAAACUAUAAUCAAUAAAUAACUUUUUUUCCCCACGGGUGGUGUUUCUUGUGGGGAUCAGUGACUGGUUUAGGUUCACCCAAAAUGAGUUCAGACUAAAAUUGGUUUGAGUCAAUGCCGUGUCUCUUUUUUCCAGAAAUCAACUAUUUUAUGCAUUGAAUAAAUCAUACAAAGAAAAUAUGAACGCCCGCAAAACCUAAACCCUGGUUGCUAACUUUCUAUGUUUCAGUUCUAUUCACGCAAGAAUAUUAGUUUAAGUUUGGGAAAAAUGGCAACUUACCUAGUGAUUACUUGGUUUUGGUUUGCGACUAUUUACGCAACCAACCAUGAGUUUGACUUUAACGUCAUGGGUUGAAGCCUCCUACAGGAAGGGAGAAAGCUCCACAGCUAGCUCCAAAAGAGAAUUAUCACAUUGAUAGCUCCAGAGAUUCCCAAGGGGACUGAAUCAAAGACAAGUUCCUCACUUUUUCUUCUUUUGAGGCCAAAUAUGAACCAAGGAUCACACAACCUCAUUCAACUUCAUAAGUUUGAUUUCAUGCAGUUGAACACUGGGUGAAGGCCAUGACAAGAAUUGAUUCAAAAAUUCUAUCACUCUUUUAAGUAAUGGAAGAUUAUUAUCUCUGAUUGGCAUCACAACAGCACAUGCUCCUAGAUCUUUCUAGACACUCCAUGCAAUGAAAGCACAAUGGAUCUUGUAACGAUAGAAACUAAGCCAUGCUACAGUACUAGAUGAUGAGGUAAAACUAGUAGACACGGGUGGCAGCCUAUAUGGGAGGGACACAAGUCUAAUUGAUUUGCAUUUCAGCAUUAUAGAUAGGUAUGUUUUGGAAGAUUUGUUCUGGAAAUACCGCACCAAGUAGGAUUCUUUUUCUCUUUAGUGGGUCCACUUGCAUGCCAAUUAACGAGUUGAAAAGUAUGAGCACCUACCUCGUGCUCGUGGAACCGAAGGUCAGUGAAGUGGGGCUCCUUUUGGCCUCGUGUAAACUUGAUUCAGAAGUGAAGUUAAUAGUCUUCCAUUCAGAUGGAUACAUGGGAAUUUUUCUCUUUUAUUUAUUUAUUUAUUUUUUUUUUGUGUGUGUAUGUCAAAGGAUAAUGAAUGAAGCGCGUUAGCUUGUUUUCUGACUGGAACCGCAGAUGUCCAAAUUGGAGUUCCUUCAUUUCUUACUUAGGAUUGUUACAUGUAUAAACAAGGUAUAAGAAAUAUGCCAACGUGUCUUGAGGAGUUAUUGAUUAGAAAUAACAAGUCACCCGACUGUAGAGUUCCAAGAUUUGAAUCUUCAGACCCUAUAGCAGCCUCUGGGGUACGUGGCAUCCUAUAGCAUAUUAAUGAAGGCUUUUUCGAUUUAGACUUCACAAUACCAAUUAAUAUGUAUGCACAAAAUGGAGAUGACCCCAAAAAAAACAGAAUCGCCAUAGUUUAUGAGGUUAAGGUGAUUCUCCACUUAAUAUCUACAUUAGCUAAUUAUGUAAAUCAAAUGAACUUCUAUUUUUCCUUUUUUUUUUUGGUUUAUGUCAAAUAGUAGCCCAUAAUUAACCCAACCAUUAGCCUGUUUGAAUUGAUUUCACAUGCACAAUGUUGUAGUAGUUCAUAUUUUGAAUUUUAUUUUUACAAAGGUAGUUAAGGAAAAUGAAGUAUAAUAAUUAUAAAAGCAGACUAUAUACACUACAAUAAUUGUUAGAAUGGUAUCUCAAAUUCUAAUUUAAAAUAUUAUUUUUUGUAAAAGAAAUAUUAUAUAGAAUAUUUCCUAAUUUUAUAAAUGAUUAUAAUUAGAUCUUUAUAAAAUAAGGAAAGUUGGUAAGAAUAUCUUUAUAAAUAUUUUAGGUCAUGAGAGAAAGAAAUGGGAUAAAAAUGUGAUGAAGAGGUGAAAUAAGAGAGUUGAUUAGGAUAUAGAUGUGAAGAAGAAAGGGAUUCAAUAUAUAUAUAUCUUUCAAUUACCACAUUAAAACCCUGUGAACCUUUUAUAUGGUUUACUUUAUUUUUAUAUUCCUCCUUUAAUAUAUUUACAUUAAUGCUUCCAUUGGCACAACAAUAACGAAUUACAAAUACAAGCAACAAGUCCCAUGUUUUAUUACCAAAAGCAGGUAAAAUCCACCUAAUAUAUUACAAUAUAUUCAUCCAAUAUUUUAGACCAAUUCUUCACCAUAAAUAUCAUAAUGUGGCUUUUGUUCUUUCUUAAAUUUAAAUUGAAUUGUCUUAUAUCAAUUUGUUUGUGAUUUUUUCAUUAACUUCACUUUCAUUUGGUUAUCUUUGGUUUUUGAAAAGUAUUAAGGAAUUAAUUAACAAAAUAAUGUUAAGAAAAAUAAUUUUCUCUCUUUUGAUUUUGAUUUUGUAGUAGAAAAAUAUAAUUAAAAUUAUUUAAAAAGUAUGUAAUUUUAAAUUAUUUAAUAUUUAGAUAAAAAAAAUAAGUCUAAUGAGUUUAAAAUAACAUAUAAAAAUAAUUUAUUUAUUUUAAAUUUAUUUUUUAUUUUCCAUUAUGUUCUCUUUCUCUUUUACUUUUUCAUAUUUUUUCUUACGAAGAAUCAAACACAACCUCAUAUUAUAUGUCAAGUGUUUGUCUAUAUUUGAGCAAUGUUAGAUACGGCCAUGGAUUCAUCAAACUAAACUGAUUUUAAUAGAUACUUCACAAAUUGAUUUAUACACUAAAUCAUUGGAUAGCAAUGAUGCAUUGGAAUUAAACGUAGGAUGAAGCUCGAAGAACACUGUUUGUGUAACAACAUAUUUAUGAAAUUAUGCAAAGGAUGAGCUUCGGGGUAGUAGUACAAGGUCAUUAAUGGAGAGCCGUGUUAAACCUUGAUUGUGAUUGGAUUCCGUUAUCAGCAACAGCAACCUUGUUUGUAACCUUGAAAGUCAUUCUGUCCACAUCGAAACUCCAAUUUGACGUUUGUAAUUACCAUUCCUGGAGUGUUCCUUGAUUGAAAUUUAAAUAAUAAUUGCGGCCCACAAGGAAUAUUUUCGAUUCUGUGGGAAUUUGACAAGGUUUGUUAGAGAAGACUGGUGACAUGUUGACUUCAAUGGUUCAAAUAGGAGACGUAUGUGGAUUUGGGGGGUUUAAUUGAAACUGAGUCCCUAUGGCUUUUUAAUAUUUGCAUUGAGCAGUCUCCAUGUGACUUCCUAAUUCCCACCAACCCUCCUGUCCAUGCUGUGAAACUAAAUUGUAAUUUAUCAGCCUUUGUCAAUGGUUUCUAAAUUAAAGAUAUAGACCAUGCAUGUACUUUAAUAAAAGCAAAUCUAAAGUGUAGAUAGCAGCAAUGGUGACACCCAAUAUUCUCCAUAAAAUAGAAUUAGAAUAAGCAGUGUUACAUUGUUCAUGAUCACCUACAAGCAUACAAGAACUUCCAUGAAUAACUCAUAGCAAUUGCCAACAGGGCGUCGUAGAGACUCAUACAUAGAACACUAUCCACCCAGAGGAAAGGACAAGACCAGUGCGCUGCAGCUCUUAUUUUUCACAUGUAUACCACCACUCGUAAUAACCAAAUUCACUCAGUUGGGAUAGGUGGGAGAUGGUGGUUUGUGGGGUGGCUUGUGGGGAGGAGUUGGAGGAGGCUUUAUUUUCUGAGGCGGCUUGUAUGAGUGUGCAGGAGGAUGCCCGGGAGUGUGACCAUAAUGUGGUGGCUUCUCUCCCGUAGGUGGUUUGCCAAAUGGGCUUGGUGGCUUCUCUCCCUUAGGAGGUUUACCAAUUGGGGUUGGUGGCUUGUGUUCUGGGAGUGGUUUCUCUCCCUUGGUAGGUUUGCCAAUUGGGGUUGGCGGCUUAUGUUCUGGGAGUGGCUUCUCUCCCUUGGGAGGUUUGCUAAUUGGGGUUGGCGGCUUAUGUUCUGGGGGCGGCUUCUCUCCCUUGGGAGGUUUGCCAAUUGGAGUUGGCGGCUUAUGUUCUGGGAGUGGCUUUUCUCCCUUGGGAGGCUUGCCAAUUGGGGUUGGCGGCUUAUGUUCUGGGGGUGGCUUCUCUCCUUUAGGAGGUUUGCCAAUUGGAGUCGGCGGCUUAUGUUCUGGAAGUGGCUUUUUUCCCUUGGGAGGUUUGCCAAUUGGGGUUGGCGGCUUAUGUUCUGGGGGUGGCUUCUCUCCCUUGGGAGGUUUGCCAAUUGGAGUCGGCGGCUUAUGUUCUGGGAGUGGCUUCUCUCCCUUGGGAGGUUUUGUUGGUGGCUUGUGUUCUGGAGAUGGCUUCUCCCCUGGAGGCUUGUGCUCCGGAGGUGGCUUCUGAAAUGGCGGGGGCUUGGGGUAAUGAGCAAGAGAUGGAGUACUGGUGAGAACCACCAUUCCAAGCAACAAUACUAGCAAGCAUGUGGGAGACAUCUUUGAGUAGUUGUAGCUAAGAUGGCGCAACACUGUAGGCAUUGGGUGGCCUUUUAUAAAGGGCUGGACCCAACAGCCAUAUGACACGUGUCAUGAUGACAAAUGAAGUUGAGGGGAUCCAGAUGGGUCCUACUGAGUCGAAAACUUGCACUAAUUGAUCUGGUGAGAUGACUAUUUCUGUCCUUUUGCCCUUCUCGGCCACCCUGUGCUGUUUUCCUUUUGCACGAUUUUCGUUGCCAAACAAGCAAAUAAUAUUUCGCCAAGAAAGAGGAGAGUGAAUGUGGAAUGCAUCAAGUCCCAUCAAGGAUGGCAGAGAAGAAAUAGAAGAUUGCCCAACUGUGAUAAACAUAGCAUACACGUAGCACCAGGAACUUCAUUUACUUCCAUCUAAUGGAACAUAACAAUCUUCUAAAGUUUUUGCAUGAUUUUGUUAUAUGUCUCUUAGCCUAAAGUUGGAAAUGCGCAACAAAUUUUGUCACUUCUCUAUUUCCCACUGAUGAUGUUAAUUAGCCUUCAUAGAUAUCAUCCUUUCUACAAAGUGCUUCAUUUGUGUGUUAUUGUAAAGUGUAAGAAAAGUAAUUGAACAUGUUCUUUUUCCUUUCAUAGAUGACUUUUGAUGUGCAUUUUAAAAGCAGCGCUGUGAGUCGGUGACCUUGAUUCACACGGAAACUAAGGCUCCUAUAGGACCCACUUUUAGCUGGUUAGGGGUGAAGAAAAUAUCAACUUUUCAGAGUGAUUUAAGUCAAGGCCAAGCCUCACUGUGUCAUUACUCGUGUGAAUUUUAUAUGCACAUACAUACAUAAAUAAAGUAUGAGACCCAAAUAACACCUUCCCUUUACAAACUUAACCCCAGCCGCUCUCUUUCAAUUCUUUUCACACAAGGGUAUUGACUCUAUAAAGGUCAAGAAAAUCAUAAUUUCCUAGGGUUUACAAGGUAAUUGGCUUAAUGCUAAUGUGAAAACAUAAAAGAUAAUAGUAUAUUGUAAGCUAACGAAUAUUCUAUAGUUAUAAUUAUUUGUGAUGUGCAUAAAUAAAUCUUCAUAUAUAUAAUGGAACAAUGAAUAAAGAACCAAUGAAAAAAUACUAUAUAUCAUUGCUUGGCAUUUAAACCGUAUAUGCUGCUCUUUCUAGCUACUCCAUCCACUGAAAGACAACAAGGUAAUCCAUGUUAUAAUGAUAGAAGAUACUGUCUCUAGGCUUUUUGUGAUGAAAAAUAUAAGAUAUGGGUAGGGUUGACCCUUGUAUGUUUGUCCUAUAAACACUUCAAAGUAACAUAUUUUUCUUCUUUAGCAACUCAUAAUGAUGGGGUUCAUUUGCAUGUCACUGAGUUGAAAAGUUGGACAAUUGCCCAUGUCGCCUUCCUCCUAGAUUCCGUAGUUCACGGGAAGGUAACUCAAGUUUGACAUAUUUUGAAUUCUUUUCACUCGGACGUCUUCAUAACCUGACAAAACAAAAAUGAAAAACAGAGGAUUGGUAUAUUAUUCAUGGUAAGCCUCAAAUUAUAGUAGUAUGAGAAAGGAGAAAAAGAUUUUGGGAACUCCAAUCUGGAUAAUUCUCGUUUCUUCUCUUGAAUAAAAAUUUCACUUACCUAACUUCGUUUGGAGAAAUGGCAUAUUUUAAUUUUGUACGUCAUUGCUAAUAAAUGGAGCAAUUUAGCAUGUUUUGUGACUGAAACUGCAAAUGUCCAAUUGGCAUUUCUUCAUUUCCCACUUAGGAUCUGAUCUUGUAGACCAUAUAACGAUAUGUAUCUGUGCAAGCAUUGAAAACUAAUGUGAACUAUGAGGAGUUACAAGCCACUGGACUGUAGAGCGAGUGCCAAGAUUUAAAUCUUCAGGCUCUAUCUGGGUAAGGGGAGGAUAGCGACCUAACCUUUUACCAAAGGCUUAGAAUUUAGACUUUUGGAAAAAAAUUUCUCAUGUUUUGGCUGGAUUUCUUGUGCUUGGCGCAAAAAGGAGAUGGCCUCAAGAAAUAGCAGACUCACUUUUGUUUUCAGCCCUUAAUAAUUCUCCACUGCUUUCCAUAACUACAUGGGUUAUACAUGCAGUCUGCUGCAAUAUUCCAGUUAUAUUUAUUAUUUCAAAGAGGGUGAAUGACUUCACAUGCAAUAUGUUGCAGUAACAACCCAAAUUUUGGCACACCAUCUUAAGAAUAGAAAAGUAUAAUAAAAGAAAUCAAUCAGAGAAUCACUUUGCAUGCAGUUCAUAGAGUUCGCCCAAAAUGGAGCCACAUGUACGGACAACCCCACAAUAGACAAUCUUCUCUAUACAGUAAUAAAAUACAGAAAUGGUUAAUGAAGCUCUGUAUUUCCUUAUCAUAUAUGACCGGUUGAAAACUCAGCAAGUCUUCCUCAAUCACAGACAGUUGGAGUUGCUUCAUCAAAAUCAUGCCUUCAUUACUGGCUUCAUUUUGGUUUCAAUGUCUGUUCUACCCUUAAAUUGGGUCUCUGCUUACUACCGGGAUAUCCUUUAGCGUCCUGCAAUUCUACUAGAUUAAAGAGAAUGACUUAAUUCUGCAUUCUGCCGUCCCUAGUCCAAGUGGUACUAGAAUUGAUGUUUCCUUUAGUGUCCUUUCUUCAUACUUUCAGGUUCUUCCCUUGUUUCAAUAAUGCUGUUUUCCUUCAUGUUUAACCUCUGUUGAACCACUUAAAACAACACAAUUUGCACACCAAUGUUUCUUUACAGAAAAGACUGUUUGCAAAAAUGCACAUGUUAUAAGGUUAAUGGAAGAAUUAAUUUGGGGAUAAGGGACUAGGAUUGGGCCAAUGAAGUUUGGUGUUAAAUUUUGAUUAUGAUUGCUUUUCAUUAUCAGGUACCUUAUAUUUGCUGAUGCUAUCUGGAACUAAAUUCAAAUCAGACAUUAUCCGAUUACUAACAGGACAUAUCAUGUCCCUCUGCAGAGUUUCUAAACUAACAUGUAUCGAAAUGUGGCCCCAAAAGGAAGGCUAGGAAGAUGGAGGAUUUUGUAGGAAUCGACCAGAAUCAGAUGGAAGAGAGAUAGUCCUGUUGACUUUAAUGGUUGUGAUAGGAACAUGCAUCAUUAUAUGAGAAGUUGCAUGAAUUUAUGUAUCCUGUUAUCGUUCCUUGACGAUUUCCCAAUGCAAUUUCACUGUCCACAAGACUAACCUCUCCAUGCAGUCAAAUGAAUUGUAAUUUCUCUAUUGGUACCAGUAGUACAUUUCAUACCAAACAUAUAGUAAAUAUAAAAUAUAAAUAGAUCAAGGAAAUCUGAAUUGUAGAUAGCACUGCAAGUAACACUCAAUAUUCUCUAUAUAUAAUAAAAUAAACAGUGUCACAAUACUCAUCACCCAGUGGCAAGGGAGAAAAACCUACAAUGAGUACUCAAAUCACCAUUCUCAAACAGAAACAUAGCAGUGACUGAUACAUAGAACCUAUAUGCUCACAGGGAAAGAAUAAGAUGACCAGUGCACAGCGGGCAGCAGCUCUUAUUUUACGUACAACUCAAAUCCCAAACUAACCAAAGUCGCUCAGUUGGGAUGGGUGGGAGAUGGUGGUUUGUGGGAUGGCUUCUGGGUAGGAGCUGGUGGCUUCUGUCCCUUUGGUGGUUUGCCUAAUGAGCUUGGUGGCUUGUGCUCCGGGAGUUGUUUCUCUCCCUCGAGUAGGUUUCGAGUCUUGUCAGAUGGCUUGUGUUCUGGUGGUGGCUUCUCUCCCUGGGGUGGUUUGCCGAAUGGGCUUGGUGGCUUGUGUUCGGGGAGUGGCUUCUCUCCCUGGAGAAGGUUACGAGUUUUGUCAUAUGGCUUUUGUUCUGGUGGUGGCUUCUCUCCCUGGGGUGGUUUGCCGAAUGGGCUUGGUGGCUUGUGUUCGGGGAGUGGCUUCUCUCCCUGGAGAAGGUUACGAGUUUUGUCAGAUGGCUUGUGUUCUGGUGGUGGCUUCUCUCCCUGGGGUGGUUUGCCGAAUGGGCUUGGUGGCUUGUGUUCGGGGAGUGGCUUCUCUCCCUGGAGAAGGUUACGAGUUUUGUCAGAUGGCUUUUGUUCUGGUGGCGGCUUCUCUCCCUGGGGUGGUUUGCCAAAUGGGCUUGGUGGCUUGUGUUCGGGAACUGGCUUCUCUCCCUUGGGAGGUUCAGUUGGUGGCUGCUGUUCCGUAGGUGGUUUCUUCACCGGCGGCUUGUGCUCCGGAAGCGGCUUCUCUACCUGGAGAAGCUUACGAGUUUUGUCCGAUGGCUUGUGUUGUGGUGGUGGCUUCUCUCCCUGGGGUGGUUUGCCAAAUGGAGUUGGUGGCUUGUGUUCGGGGAGUGGCUUCUCUCCAUUGGGAGGUUUAGUUGGUGAUUGGUGUUCCGUAGGUGGUUUCUGAAGUGGGGGAUGCUUGGGGUAGUCAGCAAGAGACGAGGUAGUGAGAACCACCAGUCCCAGCAGCAACACUAGCAAGCAUGUGGAAGACAUCUUUGAGUUCAGGCUGAGAUCUGUGCAAGGAUAACAGAAUUAGGUGGCCUUUUAUAGAGGCCUGGACCCAACACCCAUAUGACACGUGUCAUGCACUCAUGGUGACACAUAAUUCUAUGGGACCAUUUGGGUCCUACAGAAGUUGCAAAGUUGGACUACUGAGGUGUGAUCACAACUUUUGUCCUUAUUGCUUUCUCUGCGGCCAUUGCACGAUUUCCUUUAGCAUCAUUUUCUUGGCUAAAUAAGCGUAUUAUAUUUGUGGCAGACCGUCCACGUGUCAUAAACAGAUAUAUUAUAAUAAUGUAGUAUGCUUUUCUCCAAUGGAACAUGACACUCUUCUAAGUCUUGUUUUAAAUAUUGUGCAGGAUUACUUUAUACGUUGCAGUUCCAAGUCAAAAUUGGUGGGCAAACGUUGGCCUUUUUUCAUUUCACCUAAGAUUAAUGCUCACCUGGGAUAGGCACUACAUGACUUAUCUGCUCUUUUACUGUAAAGUUGCUUUGUGUAUGAGAUACACCUCCCCUGCACACCCUCAACAUUCGUUGCUCUGUUUUCCUUGUGUCCAGACGAGGAUAUUAAUUGGAGGCUGACAAAACGACUGCUAGCCCAGGAUUUACAAGGUCCUGGUUUGAGGCUUCGGUGAAAGUAUUUUUGAAAAGACACACAUAGAGAUAGUGCGUUUGGUGCAAUGCAGCACUGUGAGCCAUUCUGACGCGUUCUUAAUUUCAAAACUAAUGAAUGCUUCAAAAUUUUAAGAAGUGACAUUUCCAAAUAUUUGAGUUCGUUUAAUUGAACAUUGGAUAACUAGUGAUCAUAGAUUAUUAUCUGUGCUUGGCACUAUAAGAGGGUAUAUGCUUCUUUUUCUGGCCCCUCCUUCAAGGGAGGAGGGACAAUGUGAUCUGUAACGUUAGAAGCUAUUCCAUGUCAUCUUUGGGCUCAGUUCAAAACUAAAAGAUAAUGGGGGGGGGGGGGGGGGGCAUAUCAUUUUAUAUUUCUUCUAGAAGGUUUGUUCUGGAAAUAUUUCACAGGAGCAUAUCUUUUUCUUCUAUUACGUCAUCCGCAGCCUCCAAUAGGUCGGUUAACAAGCCACCGAGUUGAAAAGUUGGAAAAAUGGGAACACAGCCCGCCUCUUGUAUUCAGUAGUUAAAUAAAAGGUCACUAGAAGUGAGAUCCCUUUUGGCGUCUUGAUUUUCAAUCCAGCACCUCUGUGACCUGACAAACCAAAAAAACUAAAAAAUAAAAAACAGUACGUGGGUUGGUGUUAAGCAUCAAGACAUGUUAAUGAAAGAAGGUAGAGAAUAGGAUAUUGAAAUCCCAAUCCUGAUAACAUGAUUUUCUUUGCUAACAACCAUAUUAUAUUUUAUCAAGAAAGAGUAAUGCAUGUGGCGUCCAUCAAGACCCAUUAGAGUUCCGCUAAAGCUAUAGUUCUGUCAACGUUAUCAUUUACGUUUCCUCUAGAUAAUGGCAUUUUCCUCUAAAGCUCUUGCACCAUUAGGCUUCAAGUCAAAAUUUCACAUGUGAACUUUGGAAAUUUUCUCCAUUUGCCCCUAAGGAUACAGUUAGAAUUGACUUAAAAUCCUGAUUGAUAUGUACUAUUAACCAAAGAAUAUUGUAUAUAAUAAUUGAAAUAUUGUUGAUUCAUCGUGGAAAUACAUUUUGUAAGGAAAGUUGUUGAGAAUUUAGUAUGCUAUAUGGAGAAAAAAGUCAUGACUUAAGGUUGUGUAUGUAUAUUCUAUAUCAAAUAUUAGGUAGGAAUGUGGGAAAGAGCAGAGUGUAAUGAUAAGAAACAAAGAAAUAUAAGAUAUUCUUGAAAGUGGAAAAUAUAAAAUGGCUAACGAGUCAAAUUUAUGAUGCGUAAGGGGGAUCAUGUCACAUAAGAAAACCAUGGCAUACUAAAGACGUACGUGUGGUAUGGAGUAAUAAUUUUGUUAAAAUAAGUUUCUUGUUGGAGUACAUUAGGUGACUAUUCAUAACGUAUCAAAUUAAAGAGUCAAGUGCAUCAAUGAAGGCAUAUGUAGAAAAUUUGUUUGUGACAUGUACCAUAAAGAUAAGAUUGACUUGAUAGAAUUUAGUCUAAGUAGGAGUUGUUAAAGGUGUCUUAAAUUUCUAAUUGAUGUAUAUUUUUUUCUAAAAAAAUAUUAUAUAGAUAUUUUAAUAAAUGAUUAAUUCUUUGUAAAAAUACUUACAUAAUAAAAAACAUCAUUAAAAAUAUCUUUAUAAAUAUUUUAAGUUACAAGAAGGAAAAAAACCACUGUGAGAUAAUGAUGAACAUGCAACACUGUACCAAGUAAAUAAAAAUGUGAUAAAAAAAAAAGAGAAACACUCGAUAAAGGAAGGCUCGUAUAUAAAGAGUAAUAUUUUUAAUCAUAUGAUAGAAUGAUUUUCUCUCAUUCAUGAAUAUAGGCAAGAUUGGGGAACCAUUAUAAAAUUUUGUACACCUCGUGUAAAUUGAUGUUUGUCUUCAUAUUUUACACCAACAAAUGACAUUGAAGUUGUCAUUGAUAAAAGGGAAAAGGCAUGCCUCCACACCAUGUGCUUGAUUCGAAUGGUUCAAGUUUGAAGAAUUUUCUCCGGAAGAUCUAAAACAUUUUCGCCUUUAAAUUUCAUUUGAUUAUUAAUAUCCGAAAAAAUAGUUAAAUACUCUUUCUAUUUUUGAGUUGUUGAAUUUUUUGAAAGUUUUUAUAUUUGUUAUCAAGAAUUUCUAUUUUAUUAAGGGUGAAUAUUUAUAAAUAAGAUAUUAUAUAAUAUUUGGAUAAGAGAGAAUGGUGGAAUAUAAUAAAGUUUUAAUCCUUCCCAAUUUUGAACCUUUUUUUUUUUUUUUGAUAUAAUCGCCUUUCUCUUGCAAUCCUAUUAUCAGGUACCUUAUAUUUGCUGAUGCUAUCUGGAACUAAAUUCCAAUCAGGCAUUGUCCAAUUACUAAUAGGACAGAUCAUAUCUCUCUGUUUCUAAACUAACAUGUAUCGUAAUGUGACCUCAUAAGGAAGGCUAGGAAGAUGGAGGAUUUUGUGGGAAGCGACCAGAAUCAGAUGGAAGAGAGAUAGCCCUGUUGACCUAAUGGCUGUAAUAGGAGAAGCGUGUGGUUUUAUGGGACUUAACUGAUACUAAACCUGUAUGAUGCUUGGAGUGGUGUUUCUUUCAUUUUGUUAAGAAAAUAUGGCAGCAUACAUGCUUUCAACUGAGUGCAUCAGAGCAUCCAUAACAGAUGGUCUGCAACCCUAGGUGCAUGCCACUUUCUGACUGAUAAUGAAAUUGUCAGGUACCUGGCCUUGACUAAGCUCAACAGCAUCACAUAAAGAGAAGCUUUCAUACUUAGAUUACUGUUUAAAGUUUUUGCUUAUUUGAUUUCUUAAUGCCAUUAUGACAUUAUUGAUUCAAUUCUGCUUCCGAUUUUCGAAGUUCUGGGCAUCUACUGAUUGCAUCAUUAUAUGAGAAGUUGCAUGAGUUUAUGUAUCCUGUUAUUGUUCCUUUGCGAUUUCACUGCUCACGGGACUAACCUCUCCAUUCAGUCGAAAUGAAUUGUAAUUUCUUUACUGGUAGCAGUAGUACUUUUCAUAGCAAAGAUAAUAGAAAAUAUGAAAUAUAAAUAGAAGGAAAUCUGGAUUGUAGAUAGCACCAUAAGUAACACUCAAUAUUCACUACAUAAUAAAUAGACAGUGUUACAUAGGUAGAGAAACCUACAAUGAGUACUCAUCACCAUUCUCAAACAGAAACAUAGCAGCGACUUAUACAUAGAACCUAUAGGCUCGCAGGGAAAGAGUAACAUGAUAAGUUCACAGCGGGUAGCAGCUCUUAUUUUACGUAUUACUCAAAAUCUCAAACUAACCAAAGUCACUCAGUUGGGAUGGGUAGGAGAUGGUGGUUUGUGGGGUGGCUUCUGGGUAGGAGCUGGUGGCUUCUUUGUUGGAGUUGAAGGAGGCAUAUUCUUCUGAGGUGGCUUGUAUGACUCUUCGGCACUCUCUGCAGGAGGGUGCCCAGGGUUGUGACCAGAAGGAGGUGGCUUCUGUCCCUUUGGUGGUUUGCCUAAUGGGCUUGGUGGCUUGUGCUCCGGGAGUUGUUUCUCUCCCUCGAGUAGGUUUCGAGUUUUGUCAGAUGGCUUGUGUUCUGGUGGUGGCUUCUCUCCCUGGGGUGGUUUGCCGAAUGGGCUUGGUGGCUUGUGUUCGGGGAGUGGCUUCUCUCCCUGGAGAAGGUUACGAGUUUUGUCAGAUGGCUUUUGUUCUGGUGGCGGCUUCUCUCCCUGGGGUGGUUUGCCAAAUGGGCUUGGUGGCUUGUGUUCGGGAACUGGCUUCUCUCCCUUGGGAGGUUCAUUUGGUGGCUGGUGUUCCGUAGGUGGUUCCUUCACCGGCGGCUUGUGCUCCGGAAGCGGCUUCUCUACCUGGAGAAGCUUACGAGUUUUGUCAGAUGGCUUGUGUUGUGGUGGUGGCUUCUCUCCCGGGGGUGGUUUGCCAAAUGGACUUGGUGGCUUGUGUUCGGGGAGUGGCUUCUCUCCAUGGGGAGGUUUAGUUGGUGGUUGGUGUUGCGUAGGUGGUUUCUGAAGUGGGGGAUGCUUGGGGUAGUCAGCAAUAGACGAGGUAGUGAGAACCACCAGUCCCAACAGCAACACUAGCAAGGAUGUUGAAGACAUCUUUGAGUUCAGGCUGAGAUCUGUGCAAGGAUAAAAGAUUUAGGUGGCCUUUUAUAGAGGGCUGGACCCAACACCCAUAUGACACGUGUCAUGCACUCAUGGUGACACAUAAUUCUAUGGGACCAUUUGGGUCCUACAGAAGUUGCAAAGUUGGACUAUUGAGGUGUGAUCACAACUUUUGUCCUACUUGCUUUCUCUGCGGCCAUUGCACGAUUUCCUUUAGCAUCAUUUUCUUGUCUAAAUAAGCGUAUUAUAUUUGUGGCAGACCGUCCACGUGUCAUAAACAGAUAUAUUAUAAUAAUGUAGUAUGCUUUUCUUCAACGGAACUUGACACUCUUCUAAGUCUUGUUUUAAAUACUGUGCAGGAUUACGUCAUAAGUUGCUUGUUCCAAGUCAAAAUUGGUGGGCAAACGUUGGCCUUUUUUCAUUUUCCCUAAUAUUAAUGCUCACCUGGGAUAGGCACUACAUGAUUUAUCUGCUCUUUUACUGUGAAGUUGCUUUGUGCAUGAGUUACACCUCCCCUGCACACCCUCAACAUUUGUUGCUCUGUUUUUCUUGUGUCCAGACGAGGAUAUUAAUUGGAGGCUGACAAAACGACUGCUAGCCAAGGAUUUACAAGGUCCUGGUUUGAGGCUUUCACGAAAGUAUUUUUGAAAAGAUACACAUAGAGAUUGCGCGUUCGGUGCAAUGCAACAAUGUGAGCCAUUCUGAAGUCUUAAAUUUCAGAUUAAUGAAUGCUACAAAAUUCUAAGAAGGGCCGUUUCCAAAUAUUUGAGUUCAUUCAUCCGAACAUCGGGUAUAUGCUUCUUUCUCUAGCCCCUCCUUGAAGGGAGGAGGGACAAUGUGAUCUGUAUCGUUAGAAGCUAUUCCAUGUCGUCAUCUUUGGGCUCAGUUCAAUACUAAAAGAUAUGGGCGGGGCCCUUAUCAUUUUAUAUUUCUUCUAGAAGGUUUAUUCUGGAAAUCUUUCACAGAAACAUAUCUUUUUCUUCUCUACGUGAUCCGUGGUUUGAAAGUUGGAAAAAUGGGUCCGUUAACAAGCCACCGAGUUGAAAAGUUGGAAAAAUGGCAACACCGCCAACCUCUUGUAUUCGAUAGUUAAAUAAAAGGUCACUGGAAGUGAGAUCCCUUUUGGCCUCUUGAUUUUCAUUCCAGCAUCUCUAUGGCCUGAUAAAUUAAAAAACUAAAAAAAAAGACAGUACGUGGGUUGGUGUUAAGCAUCAAGAGUCAAGACAUGAUAAUGGAGAGAAAGGAUAUUCAAAUUCCAGUUCUGACAACAUGAUUUUCUUUGCUGAACUACCAUAUUAUAUUUGAUCAAGAAAGAGUAGUGCAUGUGGCCAGGAUCAAGACAUACAUUAAUUUCCACAUGAUGAAGACAGUUUCUGAGAGUUUCUUCUAAAGCUCUUGCGCGAGUAGGCUUCAAGUCAAAAUCUCCCAUGUAAACACUGGUUUUUCUUUCAUUGCCACUAAGGAUGCAGUUAAUAUUGACUUAAGAUCCUACGUGAUAUAUUUUUUUAAAAGAGCUAUAUUGUAGAUAAUAUUUGAAAUAAUGUUGAUUCGUUGUGGAAAUAUAUUUGUAAGGAAAGUUGUUGACAAUUUAAUAUAGUAUAAGAAGAAAAAAGUUAUCAACUAGCUAGAGAUGAGUAUGUAAAGUGAGGCUCACGAUUCAACGCGUAAAUAUAAGAUAUUUUAAGGCUCAAUAGUUAUGAUAUCUAUUUUAUUUUUUGUAUCUCAUAUAUUCAAAGAUAUAGUAAAAUGAUUUUACAUAUAUAUAUAUAUAUAUAUAUGAACAUAACUAUUUGUGCCAAUUGAUUUUUAUCUUUAUUUUGUAUAUUAGUAAUUAUAUUAAAGUUUUUACUAAUAUAAUAACUAAUAUAAAAGCUUUUUCUAAAAGAGUCAACAGAGCAAAACACUUAUUAUAAAAAAUAAUUUUGAUUGAAGGUGGAGUCAAUUAUUCUUUAUUUAACAUGUAAUGCAUACGGCGUGUACUUCAUAACUAAAGUAUAUAAGUGUAACAUCUCUUAUAUAUUCUCAUUCAAUCUCGAAAGUGGAAAUUUUAAAAAGAUUAAACGGUUCAAAUUUGUCGUGCAUAAAGGGGAUCAUGUCACAUAAGCAAACCAUGGCAUACCAAAGACAUAGGUAUGGACUAAGAAUUUUUUUCAAAUAAGUUUCUUAUUAGGGUACAUUAAUAGGUGACUUUUUAUGACAUAUCAAAGGAGUCAAGUGCACCAAUAAAAACAUAUAUAGAAAAUUCAUGCAUGACAUGUAUCACUAAGAGAAGAUUGACUUGAUAGAGUUUAAUCCAAAUAGGAGAUUGUUAAAAGGUGUCUCAAAUUCUUGAUUGAUAUAUAUUUUUUUUAUUAAAAAGGUUAUUAUAUAGAUAUUUCAAUAGACUAUUAAUUCUUUGUAAAAAUAGUUAUAUAAUGAGGAUGGUGAUUAAAAAUAUCUCUAUCAAUAUUUUGGAUUAUAAAAAGAAAAAAAAUGAGAUAAUGAUAAACAUAUAAAACUUGUACAAGUAGAUAAAGAUGUGAUGAAAGACACUUGAUGAAUGAAGGCUUUGUAUUUCAAGAUAUAAAUAUAUGGAGCAAAACUCUUAAUUAUAUGAUCAAAUGAUUCUCUCAUAUUCAUGAAUAUAAGCAGGAUUGGGGAACCAUGAUAGAAUCUUAUAUGCCUCUCCAUGUAGAGUGAUCGAUGUUUAUCUUCAUAUUUUACACCAGUGAAUGACAUUGAAACUCUUAUUGAUAAAAGGGAAAAGGCAUGGCCUCCACCCCAAGAAAAACAAGUAACCUCGGUUUAAAUCACUAGUCUACACCCCGAAGAGAGAACUAGCCAAACCUACUAAAAGAGAAACUUAACAAUUUAGAAAGAAACCGUCCAUGAUAAAGGGCCCCUAAAGGUCCAAUUCAGUGAGGUCGUGAACAAAAACACUUUCAUGUCAAAACAGAGAUAGGUACCACCAAAAUGUAAAGGGAAAGAUGUAAACCACGUCGAACUUUGGUAAUCAAUGGUAAAGAUAGCAUGAUAGCUAAAAGCACUAAAGCUGUGCUUGGUAUGCAAAAAUGAAAAGUGGAAAUCAGCGUCUUAUUCUUUUUCACCUUUAUUCACAUAUUAGGAUAACUAAUAUCUAAUGUUUUUUAUGUCUCAAAUUCUAUUCCAUGUUAUGGUAAACUUUCAUCUUGUUUAGAUCACUUUUGUCUGGUUUGGGCUCAAGACGAUAAGCCUAUAGAGACUUCAUAUUGGGUUGAAUCGAUGCCCUUGAUCUGAUCUGUUCGUUAGAAAAAUCUGAAUUAUUAUAAGCAUUUAGAUAAAAAAUAAAUAAAUGUGAAACACAAACUACUCCCUGCACAACCUUGACCCUAGUUACUCAGUUUCACUGCUCACAGGACUAACCUCUCCAUUCAGUCGAAAUGAAUUGUAACAAGAAGAUUUUUGACAGGAGGACGGUAGUUUAAAAUAAUAAUUUCUAAAGUACUUUUGUGAAAAAAAAUAAUUCCAAACGUGGAUUUUAUCAAGUAAAAAGAAAAAAAAAAGUUAUUUUCUUUUAAAAUCUGUUCUUCUAAAGAUGAUAUAUAUACCAAAAAAAAAAAUUGUUUUCUGAAGGUAAAAUUUUUAAAAUUCAUUUUUAAAAAAAUUUACACACUAAAAUUAUCUUUUCAAGAGAAGAUUUUUUUAAUUUUAAAUAAUUAUUAAUUUAUAAUUAAUUUGUUAUUAAUUAUUUAUUAAUUUUUUUAUUUGAAAAAUGCAUUUAUAAAAAACAAAUUUGUUAUUAAUUUAUUAAAUAAUUUUUACAAAAUAAAUAAUUUUUUUUUAUUUUAAUUUUAAAAUUAAUUUUAUUAUAUAAAUUUUAAAAUUAAAAAUAUUAAUAUUUAAUUUAAAAUUUAACUAUAAAAGGAAUAAAAUAUAGAAAAAUAAAUUAAUUUAUUAUUCAAUAAAUUAAUUUUCAAUAAAAUUUUCAGCAUUAAGAGAUAAAUUUUUAAGUAUUAAUCAAUUUAAAAAGAAAUAAUGAUCAUUUGUAUAUUAAGAUAUUUUAUUUAGUAAUUAUGAAUGAUAAACAACUAAAGUAAUUUGAAAAAAUAAUAAAAUAUUUAAAAAAUAAUAAUUUAAUACACGUAAAAUUAGAAAUGAUUAACUAUUUUUUAUUAAGAAAAAAUUGAGGAAAUAUUUUGUUAUUUAAAAUUUUUUAUUUGUUUUCAAUUUUUAAUGUUAUAGGUUUCAAGAAAAUUGAUCAAAUAAAAAUUAAGAAGUCAUUUUUUCAAAAACUAUAUAUCUAAAUAAAAGCCUUGAAAUUCAAAUACACAAUAUCAUAAAUAUAAACACCAAGUCAAUCCUUAAUUAUCAAAUGUUUUUAAUAUUAAAGAAUCAAAAUCACCUACUAUCAUGAUAAUAAGAAAACCAAUAAUAUUGUUCAUAUAAAUACUAAAAAGCUAACAAAUAUCCCAAACAAUUAAUAAAGUAUCAAACAUGAUAAAAAGUCAAUUAUUAUCAUGAAUGCAAAAAAUCAAUAAUUUUGUUUAUAUGAACCAUCAACAAAGAAAAAAAAAAUCAAUAUCUAAAUAUUAAACAUAAUUUAUAUUUUUAUAAAUAUUAUUGUUGAUAAAUAUCUUAACAAUUAUAAUUUUAGUAAAUAAAAUUAAUUAAUUUUAGUUUAAGAAUUAUUUUUUUAUACUUUCGUAUUCUUAUCAAAAAUCCCCAUUUUGCAUGUCUCCUUUGGCAUGACUUUCUUACCUAAACAAGCAUAUAUAUAUAUAUAUAUAUAUAAAAUAUUUGGUUAAGAAAGAGUACUAAAGUUUAUAUGGCACACAUCAAGAUAGAAACAGAAGUGGAAGAUAAUCCAAAUGUAUGAACAGAUAUAUUAUAUCCAUGUAGUGGUAGUGACUUCAUUAUUUACUUUUAUCUAAUGGAGCAUGACACACUUCUUCUGAAUAUUUUGCACGAUUAUGUUAUGUGUCAGCUUGUUCUAAGUCAAAACUAGUGAUAAAAAUCGGUUUUUUUUGCAUUUCCUUCAUGAAGAUGGCACCUGGAUGGGGCACUACAUGAGUGGCAUAGCACGAAGUGAUUUAUCUGCUCCCUUUACUAUAAAGUGCUUUGUGUAUAAGUUACACCUCCCCUGCACUGCCUCAACAUUUGUUGUUCUGUCUUCCGUCUGUCCAAACGAGGACAAACGUAUGUUGUAGGUUGACAAAACCACAGCUAGCCUAGGAUUUGCAAGGAUCUAGUUUGAUUCGUAUGCAAAAGGAUUGGUGAAAAGAUUCACAAAGAUAAUGCUUUUUGCAAUGCAAUCUUGUUCUAAUUCAACAGUGUGGACCAUUUUCAUGUAAUGCUUCAACUAGAUGUCAGUUUCAUGAAUUUUUGUUCAUCUAAUUGAUCACUGGAUAGGCCAUAACCCGAAGAAAUUCAAAAUUCCCUUCAGUACUGUAGCUAAGGAAAGAUCCCUAUCUACCACUGGGAUUUUAAGAGGGUAAAAAUGUAGGUGGGUGCCUAUAUCAUUUGCACUUCACUAUAGGCCUCUUUGGGAAGAUUUCUUCUGAAGACAUUUCAAAGAAACAUAUUUUUCUCUUCUCUCCGUAAACGGCAGCUGCAAGUCAGUCCAUUCACAGGCCACCGAGUUGAAAAGGCUGGAAAAUUGGCCAAAGCACCCGCCUCCUGGAUUCCAUGGGUAAGGAAAAGGUCACUGGAGGUGUGAUCCCUGUUGGCCUCUUGAUUUCCAUUCCGCCAUCUAUAUGACCUGAUAACCCAAAAACACAGAAGGAAAACGUCACCUGGGUUCAUAGUAAGCAUCAAGUCAUGAUAGAGACCAGACAACAUGACCAACAAAGAGUAGCGAAUGGGGCCAACAUCAAGCCCCAUUACGGUUAGAAGAUGGAAGAAGUAGAAGACAAUCCAAUUCUGAUAGAUUCGGGCAAAUGUAGUGCUGUUCAAACUUAAUCAUUUACUAUUUCUUCAUGAAUCACGGCAUUUUUCUUCUGAAAAUUUUCCAAGAUUAGGCCUCUGAAGAAAAAUUUCAUAUGUAAAUUGGUAUAUUAAGGAAAAGGCGUUACAAAGGUGAAAAAAAACCAAUCAAAUCUUAUAUAUGACAUCUCAAAAAUAUGAACUUGCUAUAAAUAUUUAAAAUCAAAAUCUUGCACAUCACCUCGUAGUACGAACUUGCUAUAAAACUUGAAAAUCAAGAAGAAAGGGGCAGUAUUGGACGAGACUACUUAGCACAUAUUAUUAUGAUGUUUUUUCAUUUUCUUAAUGUUGUUUUUAUGUCUUAAAUUCUAUUAUUCUAUGUUACGGUAAACAUUCAUCUUGUUUGUGUGGAAUAGGAUCACUUUUCUCUGGGUUGAGUCGAUGCCCUUAGUUAAUUUGUUCAUUUGAAUAAACUAAAUUAUUAUAAGUAUUUAGAUAAGAAAAACGUGAUACAUAAAUUACGCCUCUCGGCACAACUUCAACACUGGUUACUCUGUUUCAGUUUCCUCACACAAGAUUAUUGGUUCUAGGGUUUAUUUGGUUUUGGUUUGAUUCUAAUUGCUAAACUUUCUCAAGGAAGAUGUUAUAUAGGGAGUGAGAAACCUUCACUCUUGGCUACCUCCAAGAGAAGAGCAAGUGGUCUGAAUCAAAGAUAUACUGCUCACUUUUUCUUCUUCUAAGGACAGCUAUGACCUUGCUUUAAGGUUCGAAUAGCCUAAUGCAACCUCCCAUUUCUCAAGUCAGCUGAUGAUGUAAGUCACCUUGGCUUUCCACAUUCAUACGGUGAGGACGUUUGUGGGUGUAAUUCUCUUAACAGUUUUCAUUUUAUAUGGAAAAAUUCAUAAUUAAGGGUAAUUACUGAUUCCAUUUGACAGUGACCAAGUUUAAAAUAUUAAUUCAUAUAUUAAAUGCACAUUAAAAAAUCAUGGAAUAAAUAUAUUUACUAAUAUAUAGUUCUUUUGCCAUGUUCUGUCACAGAAGCAUCGAACUUUCCCUAGAAAUUUUUGCAUGGUAUUCUACUUAUGAUUUUGAAAACUCUAGGCACCUGAGGCCACUAAUUGCAUGGUUGGAUGAGGAGCUGCAUGAGAUUAUGUAUCGUGUUGUUCCUUAACUACAAAUAUCAGUUUUAAGUAGCAUCUCCAUGUGACAUUUUCCUGAUGCAAUUUCGCUGUCCACCAACAAAUUUCACCAUGCAGCAAGAUGAAUUGUAAUUUCUUUAUUGUUAUCAACAGCUUUAAUUAAUCUUGAUAUAUAUAUAUAACUUAGUAGAAGUAUAUUAAUCUAGAUUGUAGUUGCACUAAGAUAAUAGGCAAUAUUAUAACAGUGCCACAAUGCUCAUCGCCAAAUAGAAAGGUAGAAAAACUACAAUGAGUAACUCACAACAUUCUCAAACAGGACAUAGCGGCGACUGAUACAUAGAACACUAUUGGCACUCAGGAAAUGAUAAGAUCAGUGCCCAGCAGGCAGCACGUCUUAUUUUACAUACUACUUAAAACUAACCAAAGUCAUUCAGUUGGGAUGGGUGGGAGAUGGUGGUUUGUGCGGUGGCUUUUGGGUAGUUGGUGGCUUCUUUCCUGGAACUGAUGGUUUUUUUGUUGGAGUUGAAGGAGGCUUAAUCGUCUGAGGUGGCUUGUAUGAGUCUUCAGCACUCUCUGCGGGAGGGUGCCCAGGGUUGUGACCAUAAUGGGGUGGCUUCUCUCCCUUAGUUGGUUUGCCAAGUGGGCUGGCUGGCUUGUGCUCCGGGAGCGGCUUCUCUCCCUUAGGUGGUUUGCCAAAUGGGCUUGCUGGCUUGUGCUCUGGGAGCGGCUUCUCUCCCUCAAGAAGUUUACGGGUUUUGUCAGAUGGCUUGUGUUCUGGUGGUGGCUUCUCUCCUUGGGGUGGUUUGCCAAAUGGACUUGGUGGCUUGUGUUCGGGGAGUGGCUCCUCUCCCUUGGGAGGUUUAGUUGGUGGCUGGUGUUCCAUAGGUGGUUUCUCAACCGGGGGCUUGUUCUCCGUUGGUGGUUUAUGAACUGGGGGAUGCUUGGGGUAGUCAGCAAGAGACGGGGUGGUGAGAACCACCAGUCCCAGCAGCAACACUAGCAAGUAUGUGGAAGAGUACAUCUUUGAGUUCAGGCUGAGAUUUGUGCGAGACUUGAAGAAUUAGGUGGCCUUUUAUAGCUGGCUGCACCCAACACUCACAUGACACGUAUCAUGGUGACACAUGUGCUAUGGGUCCAUUUGGGUCCUACAGAAGCUGAAAACUUUUGACUAUUGAGGUGUGGUCACAACUUUUGUCCCUAUUGCUUUCUCCGCAACCGUUUUACAUGUUUCCUUUGGCAUAAUUUUCUAAGCUAAACAAGCAUAUAUCAUAUUUGGUUAAGAAAGAGUAAAGUGUAUAUGGCACACAUCAAGGAAGAGAAACAGAAAAAGUGGGAGACAAUCAAUUGUGAUAAACAGAUAUAUUAUAUUCAUGUAGUACUAGUGACUUUAUCAUUUACUUUUAUCCAAUAGAUCAUCACUCUUUCUUCUAAAUAUUUUGGAGGAUAAUGGUACAUGUUGCUUGUUUCCAAGUCAAAAUUGGUGGCAAAAAUCGGCAUGAUACGAAAGGAUUGGUGAAAAGAUUCACAUAGAUGGUGCUUUGUGCAAUGCAGUCUUGCUCUAAUUCAACAGAGUGGACCAUGGUGAUGUAUUUUAAAUUUUAAAUUUUAAAUUAAUGCAUGCUUCAAAGUUUUAACUAGAUGUCACUUCCAUGGAUUUUUGUUCAUUUAAUUGAGCACAGGAUAGGCUAUCAAACUUGAAGUAAUAUAAAAAUCCCUUCAUUACUGUAACUAAUGAAAGAUCAUUAUCUGCGCUUGGUAUUUUGCCAAGGUAUUUGCUGCUCUUUCUAGCCCUGUCUUACAGUUAAGGACAAUGUGAUCUAGUUAACCUUAGAAGCUAUUCCAUGUCAGAUACAAGAGAUCAAGCACAUUAUCUUUGGGCUCAGUUCAAAACUAUAAUAUAUGGGUGGGGUGGAGGCCCAUAUCAUUUGCAUAUCACCACUAUUGGUUUAGUUUGGAAGGUUUCUUCUGGAAGAUUGCUGCUUUCUGGAAUCAUUUCAAAGAAAUAUAUCUUUUUGUUCUCUUGGUGACGAGCAGCGGCAAUCAAGUCUGUUGACAAACAACCGAGUUGAAAAGUUUGAAAAUUGGUCACAGCCCACGUCCAUGGUUAAGGAAAAGGUCACUGGAAGUGAUCCCUUCUGGGCCUCUUGAUUUCCAUUCUGACAUCUAUAUGACCUGAUAAAUAGAAAGAAAAAAAAACAGAAGAAAAGCGGCACCCGGGUUCAUAGUAAGCAUCAAGACAGGAUACUGAAAGAAGGGAGAAAGGAGAUUGCAAGUCCAAUCCUGAUAAAAUGAUCAACAAAGAGUAUCAAAAUGGGGCCAACAUAAAGACCCAUUGAGGUUAGCAGAUGGCAUGGCAUUUUUCUCCUUAAGUUUUCCAUGAUUAGACUUGAAGUCAAAAUUUCACAUGUAAAUUUGUAUUUCUACAUUUCCCACUGACGACACCCAACUUCAACUUGAGUUAGAAUAACAUUGUGUGAACUUAUCUGGCCCUCAAAAUUUACUGUGAAGUGCUUUCUGCGUGUGAAGAUUCAGAAAAGCACCAAGGGAACAUGUAUGGUCUGCCUUUUUCUGAUGUUAUGUUUGUCUCUAAUUCUGUUCCAUGUCAUGGUAAAUGUUCACAUUGCUUGUAUGGAACACACCAGGAUCACUUUUUCGGGUUUAUUUUGAGGCUUCAUAUUGGGUUCAUAUUGGGUUCAAUGCUUUUAAUGUGUUCAUUAGACAAAUCUGAAUUAUCAUAUGCAUUUAGAUAAGAACAAUAAUGUGAAACCCUAGUUACACCUCCCCUGCAUAACCCCAACCCUGCUUACUCUAUUUCAGUUUACUCACACAAGUUUUACCGGUUCUUAUAAGUCAAGAAAAGGCAACUGAUGUUGGAUUGACUCUCUUCCAUGUAUAAAAAGCAACUUUUAUAUAUACAUAAAAUAACUUCUUCCCCUCACCAAUGUGGGAUAUCAUGGAUUUAUUCUGGAAACACAUCAAAGGAACAUCUUUUCUCUUGGGUGACCCUAAGUGGUGAGUCAGACCAUUUGCAUGCCAUUGAGUUGCACAGUUGGAUAAAUGCACCUACCUCCUGGGCUCCAGAGUUAAAAGGGUGGAUCCCUGGAUCGCAACCCUCUUGGCAUCUUGGUUUCCAUUCCAACAUCCACAUGACUUGACAAAACAAAAAACAGAAUAAAAUCAUCACUAUUUUCAUGCUAAGCACCAAUACAUGAUGGAAAUCAUUGCUUAAAGAUUUGGGGUCAUUUAGGUUUUGACUGCCUCCUAACACCUCACCUAAUCACAAGUUUUUAUGCUUACAAAUCAAAUAUCGUUCUUCAUUAUAUUAAAAUCAUUUUAAGAUUUCAGAUCCAUCUGCUAAUUAUGAUUAUGAUAACAUUAAUUCACCUGUGCUUCUCAUUUUCGACACACAAGGCAUCUAGGUUUGCAGGAUUUCCUUAUUAGAUGAGAUAAAUGAGUACGCAUGGUUAUGUAUGCAGCAUUCAUUAACCAUGGUAUGUGACAUUUAGAAUUAAGAUAGCAAGCAAACUUUCCCUGCAGCUUGAGUAAAUUGUGAUUUCUUAGCCUCUAUGAGUGGUUCCCAAAUCAAAUUAACAUAGUGAAAUAUACGUAGUCCAGUGAAAGGAAAUGUAAAUUAUAAACUAACAGCACUACACUACUGGUAACACUCGAUACUCUCUAUAUAAUGCAAUGAAAUAUACGUUAUACGUUGCUUGUUCCAAGUCAAAAUUUGUGGCCAAACGUUGGCCUUUUUUCAUUUUCCCUAAGAUUAAUGCUCACCUGGGAUAGGCACUACAUGAUUUAUCUGCUCUUUUACUGUAAAGUUGCUUUGUGUAUGAGUUACACCUCCCCUGCACACCCUCAACAUUUGUUGCUCUGUUUUCCUUGUGUCCAGACGAGGAUAUUAAGUGGGGGCUGACAAAACGACUGCUAGCCAAGGAUUUACAAGGUCCUGGUUUGACGCUUCCGCGAAAGUAUUUUUGAAAAUAUACACAUAGAGAUUGCGCGUUCGGUGCAAUGCAACAAUGUGAGCCAUUCUGAAGUUUUUAAUUUCAGAUUAAUGAAUGCUACAAAAUUCUAAGAAGGGCCGUUUCCAAAUAUUUGAGUUCAUUUAUCCGAACAUCGGAUAAGUAAUGAUCAUAGAUUAUUAUUAUUAUCUGACGUUCUUAUAAUGGUUGGCAUUAUAAGAGGGUAUAUGCUUCUUUCUCUAGCCCCUCCUUCAAGGGAGGGACAAUGUGAUCUGUAUCGUUAGAAGCUAUUCCAUGUCGUCAUCUUUUGGCUUAAGUCAAUACUAAAAUAUAUGGGCGGGGCCCCUGUCAUUUUAUAUUUCUUCUAGAAGGUUUGUUCUGGAAAUCUUUCACCGAAACAUAUCUUUUUCUUCUCUACGUGAUCCGUGGUUGGAAAGUUAGAAAAAUGGGUCCGUUCACAAGCCACCGAGUUGAAAAGUUGGAAAAAUGGCAACACCGCCAACCUCUUGUAUUCGAUAGUUAAAUAAAAGGUCACUGGAAGUGAGAUCCCUUUUGGCCUCUUGAUUUUCAUCCCAGCAUCUCUAUGUCCUGAUAAACUAAAAAACUAAAAAAAAAACAGUACGUGGGUUGGUGUUAAGCAUCAAGAGUCAAGACAUGAUAAUGGAGAGAAAGGAUAUUCAAAUUCCAGUUCUGACAACAUGAUUUUCUUUCCUGAACAACCAUGUUAUAUUUGAUCAAGAAAGAGUAGUGCAUGUGGCCAGGAUCAAGACAUACAUUAAUUUCCACAUGAUGAAGACAGUUUCUGAGAGUUUCUUCUAAAGCUCUUGCGCUAGUAGGCUUCAAGUCAAAAUUUCCCAUGUAAACACUGGAUUUUCUUUAAUUGCCACUAAGGAUACAGUUAAAAUUGACUUAAAAUCCUACGUGAUAUAUAUCUUUAACAAAAGUAUAUUGUAUAUAAUAUUUGAAAUAAUGUUGAUUCGUUGUGGAAAUAUGUUUGUAAGGAAAGUUGUUGACAAUUUAAUAUAGUAUAAGAAGAAAAAAGUUAUCAACUAGAGAUGAGUAUGUAAAGUGAGGCUCACGAUUCAACGCGUAAAUAUAAGAUAUUUUAAGGCUCAAUAGUUAUGAUAUCUAUUUUAUUUUUUGUAUCCCAUAUAUUCAAAGAUACAGUAAAAUGAUUUUAUAUAUAUGAACAUAGCCGAUAGUAUCAUGUUAAAACCUUAUAUGACUCUUUGUGCCAAUUGAUUUUUAUCUUUAUUUUGUGUAUUAGUAAUUAGUAUUAAAGUUUUUACUAACAUAAUAAUUGAUAUAAAAGCUUUUUCCAAAAGAGUCAAACAGAGCAAAACACUUAUUAUAAAAAGAAUUUUGAUUGAAGGUGGAGUCAAUUAUUCUUUAUUCAACAUGUGAUGCAUACAGCGGGUACUUCAUAACUAAAGUAUAUAAGUGCAACAUCUCUUAUACAUUCUCAUUCAAUCUCGAAAGUGGAAAAUUUUAAAAGAUUAAAUGGUUCAAAUUUUCCGUGCAUAAAGGGGAUCAUGUCACAUAACCAAACCAUGGCAUACCAAAGCCAUGAUAUGGACUAAGAAUUUUGUUAAAAUAAGUUUCUUAUUAGGGCACAUUAUGUGACUAUUUAUGACAUAUCAAAGGAGUCAAGUGCAUCAAUAAAGACAUAGAAAAUUCAUGCAUCACAUGUACCACUAAGAGAAAAUUGACUUGAUAGAGUUUAGUCCAAAUAGGAGAUUGUUAAAAGGUGCAUCAAAUUCUUGAUUGAUAUAUAUUUUUUUUAUUAGAAAGGUUAUUAUAUAGAUAUUUCAAUAGACUAUUAAUCCUUUGUAAAAAUAGUUAUAUAAUGAGGAUGGUGAUUAAAAAUAUCUCUAUCAAUAUUUUGGAUUAUAAAAAGAAAAAAAAUAUGAGAAAAUGAUAAACAUAUAAAACUUGUACAAGUAGAUAGAGAUGUGAUGAAAGACACUUGAUGAAUGGAGGCCUUGUAUUUCAAGAUGUAAAUAUAUGGAGCAAAACUCUUAAUUAUAUGAUCAAAUGAUUCUCUCAUAUUCAUGAACAUAAGCAGGAUUGGGGAACCAUGAUAGAAUCUUAUAUGCCUCUCCAUGUAGAUUGAUCGAUGUUUAUCUUCAUAUUUUACACCAAUGAAUGACAUUGAAACUCUGAUUGAUAAAAGGGAAAAAGCAUGGCCUCCACCACAAGAAAAACAAGUAACCUCGGUCUAAAUCACUAGUCUACACCCCGAAGAGAGAACUAGCCAAACCUACUAAAAGAGAAACUUACCAAUUUAGAAAGAAAUCUUCCAUGAUAAAGGGCCCCUAAAAGUCCAAUUCAGUCAGGUUGUGAACAAAAACACCUUCAUGUCAAAACAGGAAUAGGUACCACCAAAAUGUAAAGGGAAAGAUGUAAACCAAGUCGAACUUUGGUAAACAAUGGUAAAGAUAGCAUGAUAGCUAAAAGCACUAAAGCUGUGCUUGGUAUGCAAAAAUGAAAAGUGGAAAUCAGCGUCUUAUUCUUUUUCUCCUUUAUUCACAUAUUAGGAUAACUAAUAUCUAAUGUUUUUUUUAUGUCUCAAAUUCUAUUCCAUGUUAUGGUAAACUUUCAUCUUGUUUAAGUGGAAGAGUAGGAUCACUUUUGUCUGGUUUGGGCUCAAGACGAUAAGCCUAUAGAGACUUCAUAUUGGGUUGAAUUGAUGCCCUUGAUCCGAUCAGUUCGUUAGAAAAAUCUGAAUUAUUAUAAGCAUUUAGAUAAAAUAAAUAAAUAAAUGUGAAACAGAGACUAUUCUCUGCACAACCUUGACCCUAGUUACUCAGUUUCACUGCUCACGGGACUAACCUCUCCAUUCAGUCGAAAUGAAUUGUAAUUUCUUUACUGGUAGCAGUAGUACUUUUCAUAGCAAAGAUAAUAGUAAAUAUGAAAUAUAAAUAUAUAGAAGGAAAUCUGGAUUGUAGAUAGCACCAUAAGUAACACUCAAUAUUUACUACAUAAUAAAAGAGAUAGUGUUACAAAGGUAGAGAAACCUACAAUGAGUACUCAUCACCAUUCUCAAACAGAAACAUAGCAGUGACUUAUACAUAGAACCUAUAGGCUCGCAGGGAAAGAGUAACAUGAUAAGUGCACAGCGGGUAGCAGCUCUUAUUUUACGUAUUACUCAAAAUCUCAAACUAACCAAAGUCACUCAGUUGGGAUGGGUAGGAGAUGGUGGUUUGUGGGGUGGCUUCUGGGUAGGAGCUGGUGGCUUCUUUGUUGGAGUUGAAGGAGGCGUAAUCUUCUGAGGUGGCUUGUAUGAGUCUUUGGCACUCUCUGCAGGAGGGUGCCCAGGGUUGUGACCGGAAGGAGGUGGCUUCUGUCCCUUUGGUGGUUUGCCUAAUGGGCUUGGUGGCUUGUGCUCCGGGAGUUGUUUCUCUCCCUCGAGUAGGUUUCGAGUUUUGUCAGAUGGCUUGUGUUCUGGUGGUGGCUUCUCUCCCUGGGGUGGUUUGCCGAAUGGGCUUGGUGGCUUGUGUUCGGGGAGUGGCUUCUCUCCCUUGGCAGGUUCAGUUGGUGGCUGGUGCUCCGUAGGUGGUUUCUUCACCGCCGGCUUCUCUCCCUGGAGAAGGUUACGAGUUUUGUCAGAUGGCUUCUGUUCUGGUGGCGGCUUCUCUCCCUGGGGUGGUUUGCCAAAUGGGCUUGGUGGCUUGUGUUCGGGAACUGGCUUCUCUCCCUUGGCAGGUUCAGUUAGUGGCUGGUGUUCCGUAGGUGGUUUCUUCACCGGCGGCUUGUGCUCCGGAAGCGGCUUCUCUACCUGGAGAAGCUUACGAGUUUUGUCAGAUGGCUUGUGUUGUGGUGGUGGCUUCUCUCCCUGGGGUGGUUUGCCAAAUGGACUUGGUGGCUUGUGUUCGGGGAGUGGCUUCUCUCCAUUGGGAGGUUUAGUUGGUGGUUGGUGUUCCGUAGGUGGUUUCUGAAGUGGGGGAUGCUUGGGGUAGUCAGCAAGAGACGAGGUAGUGAGAACCACCAGUCCCAGCAGCAAUACUAGCAAGGAUGUGGAAGACAUCUUUGAGUUCAGGCUGAGAUUUGUGCAAGGCUAGAAGAAUUAGGUGGCCUUUUAUAGCGGGCUGGACCCAACAACCAAAUGACACGUAUCAUGAUACACAUAUGUGUUAUAAGAUCCUUGUGGGUCCUACAGAAGUUGAAAACUUUGACAAUUGAGGUGUGAUUACAACUUUUGUCCCUAUUGCUUUCUCGUCAGCCGUUUUGCAAGAUUUUUGACAGGAGGACGGUAGUUUAAAAUAAUAAUUUCUAAAGUACUUUUGUGAAAAAAAAUAAUUCCAAACGUGGAUUUUAUCAAGUAAAAAAAACAAAAAAAAGUUAUUUUCUUUUAAAAUCUUUUCUUCAUGAUUCAUAUACCAAAAAAAGAAUUGUUUUCUGUAGGUAAAAUUUUUAAAAUUCAUUUUUAAAAAAAAAAAAUUACACACUAAAAUUAUCUCUUCAAGAAAAUAUUUUUUAAAUUUUAAAUAAUUAUUAAUUUAUAAUUAAUUUUUUAUUAAUUAUUUAUUAAAUUUAUAUGUGAAAAAUGCAUUUAUAAAAAACAAAUUUUUUAUUAAUUUAUUAAAUAAUUAUUUACAAAAUAAAUAAUUUUGCUUUAUUUUAAUUUUAAAAUUAAUUUUAUUAUAUAAAUUUUAAAAUUAAAAAUAUUAAUAUUUAAUUUAAAAUUUAACUAUAAAAGGAAUAAAAUAUAGAAAAAUAAAUUAAUUUAUUAUUCAAUAAAUUAAUUUUCAAUAAAAUUUUCAGCAUUAAGAGAUAAAUUUUUAAGUAUUAAUCAAUUUAAAAAAUAAUAAUAAUCAUUUGUAUACUAAGAUAUUUUAUUUAGUAAUUAUGAAUGAUAAACAACUAAAGUAAUUUGAAAAAAUAAUAAAAUAUUUAAAAAUAAUAAUUUAAUACACUUAAAAUUAGAAAUGAUUAACUAUUUUUUAUUAAGAAAAAAUUGAAGAAAUAUUUUGUUAUUUAAAAUUUUUUAUUUGUUUUCAAUUUUAAAUGUUAUAGGUUUCAAGAAAAUUGAUCAAAUAAAAAUUAAGAAGUCAUUUUUUCAAAAACUAUAUAUCUAAAUAAAAGCCUUGAAAUUCAAAUACACAAUAUCAUAAAUAUAAACACCAAGUCAAUCCUUAAUUAUCAAAUGUUUUUAAUAUUAAAGAAUCAAAAUCACCUACUAUCAUGAUAAUAAGAAAACCAAUAAUAUUGUUCAUAUAAAUACUAAAAAGCUAACAAAUAUCCCAAACAAUUAAUAAAGUAUCAAACAUGAUAAAAAGUCAAUUAUUAUCAUGAAUGCAAAAAAUCAAUAAUUUUGUUUAUAUGAACCAUCAACAAAGAAAAAAAAAAUCAAUAUCUAAAUAUUAAACAUAAUUUAUAUUUUUAUAAAUAUUAUUGUUGAUAAAUAUCUUAAUAAUUAUAAUUUUUUAUAUAUUAAAUUUAGUAAAUAAAAUUAAUUAAUUUUAUAAUAUAAGAUAUAUAUAAUAAUUAAGAGACUAUUUGUCCCAAACAAUUUAUUUAUUUUUUUUUUAGGAAAUUGUCUCUUCAAGAGACGACUUCUCCCAACAUUUUUAAAAAAAAAAAAAAAAACAUCUAUUCAAAAGACGAUUUCUCCUCAUUUUUUAAAAAUGAAUUUUAGAAAUCAUAUUUUCAAAAAUGAAUUUUAGAAAUCAUAUUUUCAAAAGACGAUUUUUUUUUAUAUAAAUUAUUUUUUAAAAUGACGAUUUUAAAAGGAAAUAACGAUCUCUCUCCUACUUGGCAAAAACUAUGGUAAAUUUGGAAUUAUUUCUUCCACAACCAUAGUUUAAGAAUUAUUUUUUUAUACUUUCGUAGACUUAUCAAAAAUCCCUAUUUUGCAUGUCUCAUUUGGCAUGACUUUCUUACCUAAACAAGCAUAUAUAUAUAUAUAUAUAUAUAUAUCACUUUUGUCUGGGUUGAGUCAAUGCCCUUAACUAAUUUGUUCAUUUGAAUAGUCUAAAUUAUUAUAAGCUUUUAGUUAAGAAAAAUGUGAAACAUAAAUUACACCUCUCGGCACAACUUCGACACUGGUUACUCUGUUUCAGUUUAUUCACACAAGAUUAUUGGUUCUAGGGUUUAUUUGGUUUUGGUUUGAUUCUAAUUGCUAAACUUUCUCAAGGAAGAUGUUAUAUAGGGAGUGAGAAACCUUCACUCCUGGCUACCUCCAAGAGAAGAGCAAGUGGUCUGAAUCAAAGAUAUACUGCUCACUUUUUCUUCUUCUAAGGACAGCUAUGACCUUGCUUUAAAAUGUUCGAAUAGCCUAAUGCAACCUCCCAUUUCUCAAGUCAGCUGAUGAUGUAAGUCACCUUGGCUUUCCACAUUCAUACGGUGAGGACGUUUGUGGGUGUAAUUCUCUUAACAGUUUUCAUUUUAUAUGGAAAAAUUCAUAAUUAAGGGUAAUUACUGAUUCCAUUUGACAGUGACCAAGUUUAAAAUAUUAACUCAUGUAUUAAAUGCACAUUAAAAAAUCAUGGAAUAAAUAUAUUUACUAAUAUAUAGUUCUUUUGUCAUGUUCUGUCACAGAAGCAUCGAACUUUCCCUAGAAAUUUUUGCAUGGUAUUCUGCUUAUGAUUUUGAAAACUCUAGGCACCUAAGGCCACUGAUUGCAUGGUUGGAUGAGGAGCUGCAUGAGAUUAUGUAUCCUGUUGCUCCUUAACUACAAAUAUCAGUUUUAAGUAGCAUCUCCAUGUGACAUUUUCCUGAUGCAAUUUCGCUGUCCACCAACAAAUGUCUCCAUGCAGCUAGAUGAAUUGUAAUUUCUUUGUUGUUAUCAACAGCUUUAAUUAAUCUUGAUAUAUAUAUAACUUAGUAGAAGUAAUUAAUCUAGAUUGUAGUUGCACUAAGAUAAUAGGCAAUAUUAUAACAGUGCCACAAUGCUCAUCGCCAAAUAGAAAGGUAGAAAAACUACAAUGAGUAACUCACACAACAUUCUCAAACAGGACAUAGCGGCGACUGAUACAUAGAACACUAUUGGCACUCAGGAAAUGAUAAGAUCAGUGCCCAGCAGGCAGCACGUCUUAUUUUACAUACUACUUAAAACUAACCAAAGUCAUUCAGUUGGGAUGGGUGGGAGAUGGUGGUUUGUGCGGUGGCUUCUUUCCUGGAACUGGUGGUUUUUUUGUUGGAGUUGAAGGAGGCUUAAUCGUCUGAGGUGGCUUGUAUGAGUCUUCAGCACUCUCUGCAAGAGGGUGCCCAGGGUUGUGACCAUAAUGAGGUGGCUUCUCUCCCUUAGGUGGUUUGCCAAGUGGGCUGGCUGGCUUGUGCUCCGGGAGCGGCUUCUCUCCCUUAGGUGGUUUGCCAAAUGGGCUUGCUGGCUUGUGCUCUGGGAGCGGCUUCUCUCCCCCAAGAAGUUUGCGGGUUUUGUCAGAUGGCUUGUGUUCUGGUGGUGGCUUCUCUCCUUGGG